rnacentral:lncRNA from 1 species
GCGCAGGUGUUGGUGGCAUAGUUAUAGUACUGCUUCUCGUCGGUCCACAUGGUCACGGCGCUCGACGCCGUCCAGGUGGUGCCGGAGCCCCAGAAGAGGUUCUCCCCGUACGUCCCGUUGGAGUGCGCCAGGUUGCAGCUGGCUUUGCGCGAGUUGGCGUAGCUCUGCGCGUAUGCCGCCACCGUGGUGUCCCACGUCACCGGCCCGGCGCCGACGACCAGGCGCGCAGUGUUGUGGAGGCUCACGAAGUCCGCCGGGGCGUUCUGGGCCGCGCACGGCGAGCUGUUGGCGGCUGCCAUGGCGAAGGCGAGGACCAAGGACCAGGCUAGCUUGGAAGAAUAGUAGGACUCCAUGGCUAAUCAAUAAAAAUGCUUUGCACAAGAUGGUGUGUGUGAUUAGGUAGGUAGCUAGGUUGUGAUGCCACUGUUAGAUGUGGCUAGUGGUAUUUAUAGAGCUAGAAAACUAGCUCUCGACGCCAACAUGAAUUCUUAAAGCUUUUUUCUUUUUUUGAUAAACUAGUGGUCUUUCGAACGCCCCUUAUUCUUAUCCUUCAAUGUUGCUUUGUAAUUCAUGCUAUACAACUGACUUGCAACAUCAGAUUUUUACUUUUUUUUCUUUCAAAAAGACAACAUAUGAACUUUAAACUUUGUAAGACAUCCAAACAUUCUAACUACAAUGUGGAGAAAAAACGUUCAGAUUUUUUGGUCCAACAUAAAUAUACAAAAUUAUAAUUUUUUGACAAAAAAAUGUAUUUUUUAGUAUUUAUGUUGCAUGAAAAAAUCCAAAAGUUUUAUCUCACAUUCUAGUUAGAAUAUUUUGUUGUCAUGCCAACUUUGAAGUUCAUAUGUUAUUUUAUACGAAAGAAACAAAUAAAAAGAAAAGUGUUUGCAGAAAUUGCGAUGCAGAAAUGAGCGGCUAAAUAAGGGGGUGUCCUGAAAUCCAUGCUUUCUCACAUGUUUACCAGCUCAGCGUGCGACUACUCCCAGGGUAUUGAUAAAAGUUCAAUACAUGUUGAUGAAUUGGUCAAUCGAGUAGGACUGAAUAUUUGUCCAAGAGGGGCAAGAUCAAGCUCCAUAUGCACGCCAACGAAUGGAUAUUAAGGGUAAACUGACUGUUGCGUGGAGUUGUGAAAGCGAUAUUGACUUUUGGAAACUUUACUUCAUCAGGCCGUCCGGUCUUCACUCGUACGUGCAUGCAUGCACCAUGGCACAAUAUGCAUGCAUCUGCAUGCAUCUGGUGAUUGGGCUAGGGUUCUCAACAUGUCAUUCGUUGGUAAUCAGGGGAGUUCUGCGUGCGUGCGUGCGUGCGUGCGUCAGUGCAUGCGUGCAUGCAUUCCUCUGGAUUUGUGCAUGCAUGAGCCAUGGCGUAAUAAUUAAACAACGAGAGAAAGUGCGGAUGCUAAUAUAUCUAUCUAUAGCAAGUACUUGCUGCCGUAAAAGGAGUGUACAAUACUGUAUGUAUGUAUGUAUGUAAAAGGAGUCGUAGAAAGAGGGGAGUAAUAGCUUUUUUUUAGGAACAAAGACGUUGGCUUUUGGAAAUCCCUCCCCCUCUCAGCUUGGCAUAUCGAUCAUGGCCGCAGCUACCAUGCCCCGUGUUAGGGCAUCUUCAAUGGCUAUAAGAUAGUUGUUACUCCCUCCGUUACGGUUUAAAAGGCAUGUUUGGAAAAUUACUAAGACCAAGGUAGUCAUCGAUUAGUUGUGAGGCGUAGCAGGUGUAGAUGUUAAUGCGUCUAAUCAAUUGAGAAAAUAGUAUUACUAAUGCAUGAACAGUAAAUUGGAAGGACGCAUGCAUGAGUAGUACUACUACUAAUUAAUAGGAGUAAUUGCUUUCGCACCUUAAACCUUGUAUAUUUUGAAAACGCACGCAAGUUUAACUGUGCCUUCUAAACCGUGACGGAGGGAGUAGUAAUUUUAUCACCUAGGAUAUAUGAUGAUGUGGCAAUAAAUAAAUGAAGAGAGAGAGGAAAGUUGUAUGUAGAUUAAUCAACAGUUCUUGCACAAGCUCCAAGGUUACAUCGAGAGCAAUUGCAUUUAUUCCCUCUUCUCCUAUUGAAUAAUUUAGAUGCAAUCAUUGAAAUAGUUGUAUGAUCCCUUGUUGGUUGAUAACAUGCACAAUUUUAUCAACAAGACUACAUAUAAACUAUUCUAGAUGCCCUAUAUGCUACUGCUCCCGCCAUGCGGGCGAAGGGACUCCUCGGGUUCCUCCUCCUCCAGUCACCACUCGUGGUAGGAGCCUUAGAAGUAUGCUAUUCCUAGAAAGGAAUGUGCGGAGGUGGCAGGUCUAGAACCCACGAUGUUCUACUGUCCCCAUGGUCACGCAAUGCACAUCAUUGUUGUGAUAACGUUUUCCAACCGGGCUCACACCCCUUUCCAUUAAUCACUUAAUAGAAAUACAUCAUUCGAGUCUUUUUGCAAAACCAACCACCAUGUACUAACGAGAACCAAAUAAAGGAUAAGACUAGGAAACAGGAAAAGGGGGGAAGCGAGUUGGAGCAUCGGCAGGAAACCAACUGCCAACGUUUUCCAGAAGAAACCUCCACCGUGGGGCGAAAACUUAUCGACACCACCUAACACACAUCAUACAUAAACCACUAACAUGAGAUCAAUCAAAACUGCAAAAGGACCACCAAAAUACUCAGCGGGCAUCAAACCCUAGUGAGGAUAACAUGCAGCCAAACUUCAACCAACAUGGGCUCUAUCGCCAUAGCCCAGCGCAAUUUUGCUCUGUUCUAGCCAAAGAUGCCGCCACCCGCGCCAUCCAUCUGGAUGCCUGCCUGAAGUUUCGACUUAUCACCUCCCUUAAGAAGACCUGACCAGUACAUCAAGAAAGAACAAGCAGUGAAAACAGCUUCUAACGGACUCCUAACCACAUGUUUCUCAAAGGUAACUUUGUUGCGAGUGCACCAAAUACUCCAGCAAAUAGCAGCCAAAAUCAUCAUAUAAAACUUCCUACCUCCCGGCAGGAAUUUGUAUAGCCAAGCCCAGGAUUGCCACAAGUGAAAGGACGUGGAUGUCGCCUAGAGGGGGGGGGGGUGAAUAGGCGCUUUAAAAUAAUUACGGUUUAGGCCUGAACAAAUGCAGAAUAAAACUAAUGUUUAAUUUGUCAAGCACAAAACCUAAAAACAACUAGGCUCAACUAUGUGCACCAAUAACUUAUGCUAAGCAAGAUAAACAACUAAGUGAUAGCAAGAUAUAUGACAAGAAAUAAUAUGGUUAUCACAAAGUAAAGUGCAUAAGUAAAGGGUUCGAGUAAGAGAUAACCGAGGCACGCGGGGACGAUGAUGUAUCCCGAAGUUCACACCCUUGCGGAUGCUAAUCUUCGUUGGAGCGGUGUAGAGGCACAAUGCUCCCCAAAAUGCCACUAAGGCCACCGUAAUCUCCUCACGCCCUCACACAAUGGAAGAUGUCGUGAUUCCACUAAGGGACCCUUGAGGACGGUCACCGAACCCGUACAAACAAGGUUGGGGCAAUCUCCACAACUUAAUUGGAGGCUCCCAACAACAACACAAAGCUUCACCACAAUGGCAUAUGGCUUCGAGGUGACCACAAAUGCUCGGGGCAAUCUCCACAACUUAAUUGGAGACCCCGACGCUUGCCCGGAGCUUUACACCACAAUGAUUGAGCUCUGAGGCACCACCAAGCUUCUAGGGGUACCAAGUACCCAAAGGUAAUAAGCUUCUCAACUUCUCACUUCCAUGUAUCACCGUGGAGAACUCAAACCGAUGCACCAAAUGCAAUGGCAAGGGCACACAGAGUGCCCAAAUCCUUCUCUCCCAAAUCUCACCAAAGCAACUAAUGCUAGGGAGAAAAAUGAGAGGAAGAAUGAAGAAGAACACGAAGAACUCCAAGAUCUAGACCCAAUGGGUUCCCCUCACUUAGAGGAGAAAGUGAUUGGUGGAAACGUGGAUCUAGAUCUCCUCUCUCUUUUCCCUCAAGAACUAGCAAGAAUCAUUGGAGGGAUUGAGAGUUAGCAACCUCGAAGAAGGUCAACAAUGGGGGAAGAACACAAGCUAAAGAGAUAAGGUUCAAUGGGGAAGAAGACCCCCUUUUAUAGGUGGGGAAAAAUCCAACCGUUAAGCCUCACAGCCCGCACAGAGCGGUACUACCGCUCAUGGAGCAGUGCUACCGCUCGGUAGGUUCACCAACCAUGCUGAGGCAAAAAAAGGAUGCAAAAAACAGUCCGAUGGAGCGGUACUACCGCUAGGGAGCGGUAGUAAAAAAUUACUACCGCUUCGGGGGCGGUACUAUCUCUUCGGGGGCGGUACUACCGCUGGCACCAGGAGCGGUACUACCGCUGGAUACUGAAACUGUUGUAACUUUCGCAUACAGACUCCGAAUUCAACGAAACCAAGUUUGUUGGAAGCUAACGACAUGGGCUAACACAAUCUUGAUAGAAAUAUCAAUAAGAAUAAAGUGAGAAAAGUCCCAUAAGAAAAUGGUGAGAACCCUUCUUCGAAUAAGAUCGGUAAAAACUCCCAACAUCAAAAACAUCAUAGAAGAUGCAUAUGGACUCCGUUUUCGAUGAACUCGAGCGUGUCAUGAAGAUGACCAUAAGCUAUAAAACUCACAAAGAUAAAUACCAAACAAGAACCAAGAAGUAUGAUGCAAGGAUGCAAAUGGUUUGAGCUCUCAACGAAUGAUACGAUCAAGCUACUCACUUGAGAGGCCCCCUUGACAGUACGACAAUCUAUCCUAAAACAGAAAAACCUAUCAAGGGCAAACCUAUACCUUGCACCUCGUCCUCUUGAGCUAGAUGACGAUGAUCUUGGCUUCCUCAAGAUGGACCACCUUUCUUGCUUGCGUUGGCUUGAUGAAGACUAGUUGAUUUCUCCCCCGUACACACUAUGGGUGAGCCGCUCUUCAGCAUAUCUUCACAAGUCCAUUGCCACCAUCCUCCAUCACUUGACGUCAUCCUCCAUGGGUUGUAUGAGAUAUUCCUCUUGACGCAAGCCCAUGGAAACACACCUAACCCCACAUAGAACUCUCAAGAAGACCAUGGGUUAGUACACAAAUACGUACUAGACAAUGCUUACCAUACCAUGGGAUCACUUGAUCCCUCUCGGUACAUCGUGUACGCUUUGUGUGUUGAUCAUCUUGAUUUACUCUUUGUCUAACGAUCUUGAUCAACCUUGUGUCUCUAUGACCAUUCUUUGGAUAAUACCUUGAAUACCACCUUGGUCAUCAUAUAAACUCCUUAAACCCAACAGAUGGACUUCAAGAAGUGCCUAUGGACAAAUCCUAUAAAUAUAACUUAAGGCAACCAUUACUCCAUAGGAAUUGUCAUCAAUUACCAAAACCACAUAUGGAGAUAUAUGCUCUAGCAACAAGGACUGUAGGCAACAGGUUGCGCCAACAGCAACCCCGAACGUCCCCCACACCGCCCGUUCAAAAGUACAGCCGAAAAACAAGUGCUCUGUCGUUUCAACAUUCUCACAAAAGGAACAUAAAGGAUUUCCGGGCCAGUUUUUCUUCCUCAUAUUAUCCCUAGUGAGAACAACAUUUUGAAAUAACUGCCACAAAAAGAUCUUAAUUUUCAAAGGGAUAUUGGCUUUCAAAACCCAUUUAUAGUCAGGUCCAACAAGAUCUUUGUCCAGCCAGUUGUAAACUGACUUAACCGAGAAUAAUUUGUUAGAAUUAAGCUUCCAAAUCACCUUAUCUACAUAACCAGAUAACACUAGGUUUCGGGCACAAUUGACAAUCUCUUCCCAUUGUCGAGCCAACUCCCCAAACAAGGUACGUCUAAAAGAGAUGAUAUAAUUUUUACCAGCAAAGGUUGCAAGACUGCAUUCCUGAUCAUCACAGAUCUCAAACAACAUGGGACAUCUAUCUUUUAGAGGCCUGCUAUUAAACCAGGGUUCAUGCCACAAUCUAGUGAGACCCCCAUCAUUAGUAUUGAUCUCUCUACCAUCCGUAUACACGUCUUUAACUUUCAUGAUAGCUUUCCAGCAAGGGGAGUCAUUAAACUGAGUUUGAACAUUGGCCACAGUUUUCCUCUUCAAGUAUCUGGCUUGCACAAUUUGCUGCCAUAACCCCUCCCUAGUUUCAAGCUUCCACCACCACUUAACCAACAGACUAAUAUUUUGUUUAUGCAAAUCUUUGAUGCCCAGACCCCCAAUUUUCUUCCAACAACACACUCUGGCCCAUUUGACUGUAUGAUACGCACGUUUUUUCUUGCCUUUCAUCCAAAAGAACCACCUACGAUGAGUGUUCAUUUUUUUAAUAAAAGUCUUGUUCAACAAGAACAUGGACAUGAAAAAAGAUGGAAUACCAUCGAGGAUAGAAUUUAGCAAGGUAGCUCUAGCCCGUGAGGAGGUGGAGUACCCUAUCCAAGUAGUUCAGCGCUUAAGCAGGUUUUCGUCAAGGAACUCCCAAUCCACCAUUUUAAGGUCCGUAUAUGUCACCGGUACUCCCAGGUACUUCGUAGGGAGCUUACCUACUCGACACCCAAACAUGUCAGCAUACAUUUGAUUAAUAUCAUUGUCCCCGCCAAUAGUGAAGACCUCACUCUUGUCAAAAUUAAUUUCUAACCCUCACAUAAGCUCAAACAAGUACAAAAGGAGUUUGACAUUCAAGGCUUUCUCACUAUCAUGAGAAAAGAAAAUAACAGUAUCAUCCGCGUACUGUAGGAUCCCCACGCCCCCAUUAAUAAGAUCAGGAACCAGCCCCUGAAACAACUUAUUUCGUCGCGCAGCUAACACGGUCUUAGUUAGGUACUCAUCAACCAUAUUAAAAAGAAAAGGAGAAAAAGGAUCCCCCUAGCGGACCCCUUGGCACUUUGGAUAUAAGGUCCCAUGUCAUCAUUGAUCUUGACAAUAAAUGUGCCAUUUUGAAGGAUCUGGGACACCCACCCACACCAUUUAUCACUAAACCCUCUCUUGGCAUGACAAUCAAGAAGGAAAUCCCAGUUAGCCUUGUCAUAAGCUUUUUCAAAAUCCAGCUUGAGCACCACCCCGAUCUGUUUUUUAAUAUGGGUUUUGUUGUCCCCUUUCAACAACCACCUCUCAUGAGAUUCUUGAUGCCAAUACAACUCUUCAUCUUCAUACAUAUUGUUCAAUUCUACCAGGAUAUCAAGCUUUCUAAGCUGAGCCUCUCCACUCAGCUCAUCAUUCUCCUCAAGUAGCCCUAGCUCCUAGAGUUCUAAACUAAGCAUAUUGCGCCUAAUAUUAUUAUUACCAAAGAUAUUGGAGCCCCACCCUUUGAAGAACUUCUUAACUCUCUUCAACUUAAUAUUAAGGGUGUCAAUGGGAUCCUCUGUAUAGGUGGGUUUCGACCAAAUAGUACUCACCAAAGGAAGAAAUUCAGGAUUAUACAACCAAGAUAAAUCAAACCUAAAACAUCUACUGCCCCUAGCUCUCGAUGUUUCCACACCCCCAUCCAACAACAGGGGAUUAUGAUCAGACCAUUCCUUCACUAGCUUACAUACGGUAACUAGAGGAUAAAAAUCCUCGCAGUCAUGGGACAUCAACACACGAUCCAACUUUUCCAGGGUGGGGUUUUCUUGCUUAUUGGACCAGGUAUAGUGCCCACCCGCCAUGAAAAUUUCUCUUAAACCCAUUAGAUGAAUUAUAGAAUUGAAAACAUCCGAGAAAUGAGAAAUAGCAGAUUGUUUGUUUUUUCCCGCUAUGACGCAAGAUGUUAAAAUCACCCCCAACCACAUAAAGAGCGUCAAUUUUAUUACAAAAGGAAGAUAAUUCCGCAAGAAAUUCCGGUUUCCUAUCAUCCUGAGCAGAUCCAUAAACCACCAGCAACGCCCAGUUACAUUUCUUUUCCUUAUCAAACACAUUAACUUGGAGGAUGUAUCUACCCUUAACAGCAUUAAUAACAUCAAAUUUAUCCACCUUGAGACCCCAAAUGAUACCCCCAUACUUGUCCACCGAGGGCGCCCAUUCCCAAUGGAAAUGAGAAAAUGGGUCAAUCUUUCUAAAAAAGGAGGGGUUGAUAUUUUCCUUCAUAGUCUCUUGAAGGCCUACAAAAUCCACAUUAUUGGCAUCAAUAAUGUCAGCGAUGCCAGAAGUCCUACCUUUCUUCCACACGCCCCUACAAUUCCAAAAUAAACAAAAUCAUUUAUAUCGCGUGGGUUUGCCCCUCACUUUGGUUGAUCUGCCAGGAUCCAGGGUAGCAUCACCACUUUUUUCACUCUCUUUCUUUUGCUUUCUAGUCAAUGUCCUAGAAGAAUAGGCAGUUGGUGAAACCACUACAAUUCUCCACCUCGCAAUUUGUUUUUUCUUCCGCUUAGAUUGGACAAGAACAAAAUUUUCAUCGUCUCCCUCCUCAUGAUCUCCCAAAGUCAAAGAGAUCGGAGUAUUUCCCCCUAAGUCAUUUUCUGCCUUUACCGAGUAUUUUCGGUACACUACAUACAAGUUCCAUCCCGUAGUGUAAAAACAUCGCCCAAUUGGCCUCGUGAUCCCAUUUUGGAUAUAUGAAGGAACUUCUAGAUCCAUCACAAAUUUAGGCUAAUCUACGACUUUUUCAAAAAACGCCACCGAAAAUCCAUCAUGGACUAACAAAUUUCUUAAGGUCUUGUGUUAGUCAUAUCUUAUGGACUAACAAAUUUCUUAAAGUCUUAUGUUAGUCAUAUCUUAUGGACUAACAACCUUCAAUCCUCUUCGGAUUUGGCGGCAGUGGCGUGUUCGCGUCAUGACCUUUUGGAGGUGUCGUCAGCGGCCUUGAGCAUCGGUUGGGAGUGCAGAGGAUCUGCAGGUGGAGGGGACGGGACCAGUGGUUGCAGGUGGUGCUUGCGAAGGAGGAGCGGCGUUGCAUCUAACAUGUCGACAACGACAUGUCUGAGGGACAUGGAGCAACGUGGUCUUGCGGUUGGGCAUGUGUUUAUGGAUGAGUGCAGGAUGGUGGAGUUGUCUGGCGUCGUGUUAGCGUCAACGGCAGCUAGGCCAGACAAGGUUGAUGCGUCAGCACAGCUCUGAAGAUGAACUCGUGGCAGGUGGCGGUGGCGGCCUCUGUGAGUGCGCUGGACCGGUGUGUGCCCCAUACUCGGCGGGUGGCUUGGUUGGGUCCUCAUGCCUUAGAUAUUAGGCUUGGCUUCAAGGUCUGUUUGGAUUUAGGCCCAGACUAUCAGCAUCCCUUCAUCAACUGGAUAGGAAUAGCGAUGGAUGCUGCCUAGACGAUGGCUUCAGACUUGUUGUUAUAUCUUUUUAUAAGGUCUUUUGUAAAUAAUUAAUAAAGUGGUUGUAUGCAUCGCCCAGAUGCAGAUGCAGGGGGUCUUCCUCCUUUUCAAAAAAAUUAAAUAUCUUAUGGGGUCCAUAUGUCAGCCUAAGGAAUGUGAAUGGUCAACGCAGCCACUAACCCUUAUCUUAUCAAUAGAUAUUUCACACUAUCAAUGGCGAGUUCUUUUGCCCAUCUUUGUCACAUGCAUUCAUGUAUAGUACCAUAUUAUUGGAAAUCAAAUCUUGGUCUUCACAUAUUUAGGAGAGUGAGCAAUCUUCAUCUAAUUUCUUAACAAUUUUUAUUAUUAUCAAAGCCAUUAUUUGAAAUUAGAAAGGAAAAUCAAUCUAGGGAGUAAUGCAAAAACAAACAUGCGAAUAGUCAUGAUGCACACAUCCUAUGUGAAGCUUAUGGUUGUGUGAAUCUUCAUCCGAUGUCGAGUGUAUCAUCAGACAUAUAUUGUCAAGUGCCCUUUUUGGGUGCCACGGCUUCAAUAGCUUCUCCGAGAGGCCAUGCCGCUUCAAUGAAGUACUCCCCAUGCUUCACCUUCUGGACCAGUGUGAUCUUUUUGGUGGGCUCCAAACCUACAAACAAAUCUUUAAACACAUUUUCUUCUAAUGAACUCAUGAUUGUAUGCAGUAUUGGUAGAGAAACUCACCAAAUCCAUCGAUGAGCAGGGAGUAUUGAUAGACGAGGUCCAUGCAAACGUAGGGUAUGUCACGGACUUUGGGGUACUUAGCCUUCACUUCUUUCAUGCUCAUCCUACAUAUCUUCUGGGCAAUGGCUUUGAAAGCUGCUGGGGUGGAUGUCCCGCUUGGAGCAUCGCUGUCGAUGAGGCCAACCUGUCAAGAAUCGAAAGACAUCGAUAUAGACACGCUCAGAUAUUGCAGCUGGGGGGCACAUAUAUGAUAUAUCCAAAUUAGUUUAACCGAGUUCAAGUAAUUGAACCCUACAUUAUUCCACACAAACUGAAUUCUAGUUUUAUCCUAAAUAAAACUUGUUUAAGUUUGAAUGAGUUCAUGCAAAAAUAUGCUAAUAUCUACGACAUAUAAUAUAUAUAUCUUGCAUGAAAAUGUAUUUUUUUUAAUAAUUCUAAUGAAACUAAGUGUUGAUCUAUUUAACUAUAGACUUAAGAAAAGCAAAAUUUCAAUCAAUUCAUAAUGGAGGGCAAAGGGAGUACCUGUGAGGCCAUGUAGUAGAAGCUAGAUGCGACGUAGAGGUUGGCCUGGCCGGGACCGCCCCCGCCAUUCCACACGCCGUCGAAGGCACACUUCUUGGCUUGGCAGGGCACGUCAAGUUUGAGUGCCUUCACUACAUCACCUCUGCACUUCCCGUAUUGUGCACCUCCUAUUGACGCGGUAGCAUUGUACUCCUCACCGUUGUAGGUGUAUUUGCCUUGGAGAACGAAUGAGAAGGAAAAAACAUGAUAUAUCAAUCAGGUAUGUGGUUAUGGGUGAAUAGCAAGCCUACUUAUAUUGAUCUCUACGCACACGUACGUACCACUAAAGCCACGCAGCAUGCAGUAGCUAAAUGGUCCUUCCUUGGCCUUGAAGAUCUCUACGCGAGAAGCUAAGGCACCGUAGCGUAAGUAGCUGCAAUCAGAAAAAAACGGCCUUAAUUUCCUGAUCUCUCUUUAAUUGUUGCAACGCAAAGUUAGGGUAUCUUCAAGUCGGACCCUCAAUCCUCCAGUAUAUGUCCGGACGGCAAUGUCUGGAGCAAUACUGUCAUCCAAUGAGAAUCUGUAUAUAUUCUCUAGCUGUCCACACGUAUGGAUUUCGGUAAAGUGGAGACAAACACGAAGGAGCUUUGCGGGAAUCCAUACAGGCACUUAACCAAUGAGACGCAUGUCCUUCUCUUUUCCCAUUCCCACAUGUAUGGUCCCUCUGUUCUCUCUAUCCUCCCAACGGAACACUUAAUCACAAAUUUCCCAUCAUAUGCAUGGUGCCCAUCUAUUUUUUUCUCCUUCCAACCGGAUACUUUGUAAUUAGUGUUGGAUGACUCCCUCUCAUAUUAUGUUCGCGGACCACGUUCAAACACAAAAACGGAUAUAUACCGAAAGAAUUUGCAGGUUGGCUUUGAAGAUGCCCGUACCCCGCUGCUAAAAAGGAAUUCUGUAGGAAUCAAAAAGCAGGAUGCCCCUCAUGAAGUGUAUUACUGUGCUUUAUCUUACCUUUCAUUUCACGUACCUAACUCUUGUACACAUCUUUGCUUUUGCUUUUAUAGAAAGAAAAGAAAUGCAGUGGGGCCUUGCCCUACUGGAAAGCCCUCCGAAAAAGUUUGUUAUAAAGUUUAUUCAGAACGACAAAGGUUUUAGUUGGGUAGUACACCAAGUUUCCUUUUAUUUUGUUUUGUUAAGGUACAUGAGUAAUGCUAUUUUACCGGUUUCCCUUGUACGAUACACUUUCAAUUAGGCACAAAAGUAUGGGAGCACAUGCAGGGUCUGGCAAUACUGAAUAACAUGCAAAUAAAAGCACAUGAAAUGGUCCAAAUUAAUUAACCUGUGAACAUAGACGUUGUAAUCUCUUCCCUUGAGAUACUCUUUUGUAACAUAAGGAUCCUUGCCAUGAGGCACUUGUGGAGCGGCAGCUGCGGCGGUAGGAGAAAUUGCAUAUGCCAUUUGCACAGACCCACCUCCAAGAUCAAUCACACCUACCGUUUUAGAGUAGUCUCCUCCCAACUUAUCCAAAAGGUAAUUCAGAGCCACCUACAAACAUCUCAUACCAUGCAAAAGGAGGUUAAUACAACAAAAAAUUGGUGUUUGUGUGUGAUAAAAGUUCAUGUCAAAUGAAUGCAUGUGACGGUGGAUCGUGUGCGUUGUACCCAUAGGUAGGAUCCUUCCUGAGAUCCCUCGAGAACAUUGAUCCACUUGGGAUUGUACUGAAACUUGGUCUUAGUGUGGACAGCGCCCCUGACCUGCUCAUAUCAAUUCACGAAUCAGUAUUUAACACAUGGCUACUAUAUAUCCGGGCGACAUAUAUUUAAAUAUAUACGAAGUAUAUCACAAGAUCAAGAAAUUAAUUACGGCGUCAAGUAUCUGCUCUGCUUGCUUAUCUCCGAUCAGCCUGAGUCCGGCCGUCGCCUGCACAUUUAAUUCAAGAUCUGAGCAUUAUAUCUUGACGUCAAGAAUUUUUCAAUCGACAACGGUGAAAAUAUCAGAAAUUUACAUUUCCAUGAAUCUAGAGAUGAUGAGAUCCACAUGAACUGAAUAAUAAAUUCUGAAUAUUUAACAGCCAACCUUAGAAGUAUCGAAACCAGUACUAAAUUUUUCAUACCCCUAGUUUAACCGGAGUCGUCUUCAUAAGCCUCUGAGGCACGGCGCUGUUGGCCUCUUGAAGCAGCGGUAGUAUGGACUUGGUAGCCUCCUUGGGCCGUCCAGCGUACGAACUCAGACCAGGAUUCACCUGCAACCAAAACAAAAAAGACGACCUGUCAAUGAAGCUAUGAAGAUUGAUUGCAUCAUCCUUGCCACCCAUGGUUCUUCUUUUGAUUGAGUGUCAUGGAUGGAUGGAGCUAGGCAACCAGCGUACCUUGGCGAAGACCUCGAUGUCGUCGCCGAUCUUGACGAGAUCCAUCCGCUUGUCAAACCGGAAGACGUGCAUACGCGUCCCCGUGCUGCCCGCGUCCAAGAUCACGGCGUACUUCCCCGCCGGCGGCCCCGUGGCCGCGCGCGCCAGGGCUAUCUCUACCGACGCGGCGAGGAGGAUGAGGAAAAGCGCCACGAUGCCCUCCACCACGUGAGCCAUUUGCUAACUAAUGCAGUGUGUGCUGCCGGAUGCCGGGCGAGUGCUCAAGUCUGACGAGUCCACAUGGAGCAGUAGGUUUUAUAUAGAGUAUGGGAUGGGAUGGGACCCAGGUAUCAAAUCUUAGCCCUUAAGUAAGUACUUCCUCCCAACCUAAAUAUAAAAUACUUGUACUAAUUAGAAAAAAUGAGUCUGGUUCGCCUUAAGUAUUUAGAUUCAGAGGGAGUAGAUUAAUCCAGCAUCCUCAUGAUCUUAUGCCAUAUGGCAAUGGCUGAUCCUCAUGCAGAACUAUCCAUUUUGCCAUAUGGCAACGGCUCCAAGCAGCUCGUUCCUGUAGUUGGUAUGGGAAGUAAGGACAUCUUUUCUUCUUCUUGGAACUAUGGGGCCUAUGCAUACAAAGAUGUACACAAGAAUAUUUAUAAUAUUAUUCAUCAAAUGCUGACAAAAUAAUUAUAUGUAUGAACCCAAAGCAGGUGACCUCUGCCUCUACACCUACAAUCUUAAUGCAUGGUGUGCUCUUACCCCACACGAACGCCCACCAUCUAGUCCGGUGACCGCACCAAACCACCCAACGACGAGUUGAGAGAACUAAUUGGUCUAGCAGACCCUUGACCCACACCGCAUGCGCAUGCUCUAAAAUCCGUCGCCACCAUCUUCCGCCAAAGAUCUUCAGAAGGAACCAACUUACUCCUUCCGAUUUUCUUAUAUAAGAUCACUAUGAAAAACACAUUUUGCAUCUGUAUAAGGCCACAAACACUACUUGAGGCAAAAAUUAAUACUAUUUUCUCGUAUUAAUAAUUUGUUUAAUACUUGCAUGCAUAUAAUCAUAAUGACACUUAGCUAUUCUUUCUCAUUCCUUCCUUACAUGCAUGCGACGUAUUAAUGCGUCCAAAAGAAUCAUUAAAAUGUGAGUUUGUGGCAUUGCAUAAGGGAAUGGAGGGAGUAUUAAAAGUAUAGGAGCAACAAUAGGUCGUGCACCAAAAGUGUCUUUCGGUGGAAGAUCCCACACAUUCUGCAUUUCAUGUCGAAGUGUCCGUUCUUUUUUCCUGCAUACACUGAGCGCAUGAUGGGCACCUUCGCUGCAUUGCCCCACAAGGUACGGGUAGCAUCAUGUUCGAGCAUUAAGCGUGCGUUUUCGUCGGAGUAGAAUCAGUAUUCAGUAGUCGCUCUCCACAGGCCAGGUAAUCAGUAUUAUGAUUUCCAAAUCGUAUUCCACAUACUCCGGUCUCCCUCCCAACUGCUAGUACGUACCACUCUCUGCCAGUCCGUCUUUGCGCAGGAGCUGCGCUGCAAGCCUGUGGUACAUGCAAUGCAAUUGCUUACCUCUUAGCCGGUUCCCUAAUAUUGCAGAUCGCCUCCCCAGUGUGGGCACUGAAUGAGUCAUGCAUGGACCAAAACGCCCUUCUACUAGUGAGCUUCAGACUCAAUUCUUUGCUUCGGACCAAAACCCAGCGAUCAAAUAGAUUGUCACAAGUGGGCGCCCUAUUUUAGGAGCUCAAGUUCUGCUAUUGAAAAUCCGUUCCUCCAGCAGUCACGGUUUGAGCAUUCCGUUUUCUUUUCAAACUCCAAUUUUAGAACUCUGUGAACUAUUGUAUAUUCAUAUGAAACACAGAACACCUGUUCGCCAUUGGACCAAAAAAUACCGGUGACUUGAAAACCACACCAAACAGAUAAUUGACGACAAAAUUUAAAUACUGAUAGUCUUUUUAUGUUAUCCGAAAAACUUCUACUAGUUGCUGUGCUGAACAGGUUGCUUUAAACUGAUUACACAGUGAACACUCGUUAAAAAUGGAAUUUUUGGAUUUUGAGAGAGAAAAUAGAUCGAGCAGGAACUUUACAACGUGAAACGCGUGGUUGUCGGUCUUGGCGGGUCGUGAGUGUAAGAUAUCAAAAGCGGUGGGGACAUCGAAAAUUCGCAUCGUACAAUGAUGGUCCAUGCACCGCAAGUAACACGUUCAUGCAUUAAUUCAUGAUAUUUUAGUGUGUCACACUUAAGAAAAGUUAACCCAAUUCUCCAGCUUUUGAGGCAGCAUCUUAUACCCAAAAGCAGAUUCUGGUAGACAGAAUAAAAUGGUGUGCCAGUGCCACUAAUGACAUCUCUAGCACACUGAUACUUUCAAAAGUGCUUCCUAUUCACUUUACUCUCUUUUUAAGUACGUAUAUAUUUGGUUGACAUAAUUCAUUGAGCACCUAGGCUCCACCGGCGAGAAAAGGUUUUUUUUUUUUUUAAAAAAGGAGGAUUUCCCAGGCCUAUGCAUCAUGAUGAUGCAUGCAGUCAUUUUAUUGAAUAAAGCAGUUCGAAACAAAGUGCAACCCACAAGGGGUCUGAAAUGGUCUCACAAAAAUAAGGAAUAUUACCUGUCGUCAUCGGCAAGAUAAAGAUAGGCCACGAUGAUUAUACACCUAGCCUACUAAUGUGCCGCCAUCCAUAUCGAUUGAAGAUAUCUAGUGCUACCGUCUUCCAUCGGCUGCACCCAAUAACCAUAUAUAAUCUCCCUGGACUCCACAGGCGUGAGUAACGACCACAUACGGAUCCAGGCAAUAGCUCUGAAGAUGACCUGCUAAAAGUUGUUGAAUUUCUUUCCCUUAAAUAUCAUACCAUUUCUCCAAUUCCAUAUAGCCCAAAGCAUGGCACAAAUCCCUAUUCAAAUGUGUCUAGAUGUGAUGAGAUCCACUCCAUUUAGCCCCGUCCCAAAUAACGUGUUCAUACUCGUUGGAGGAGUAAUGUUAAAAGUAUAUGAAUUGUACGCAUAGGAAGUCUUGCCAAAGGGAACUCAAGAAAGAGGUGUUUAAUAGUCUCGUUGUGAUCACAAAAGCAUCAUCUAGGGUUACCUACUCAUUUUCGUUUAACCAAGUUAUCUAUCGUAAGUGUCACUUCUUUGUGAACAAACCACAUGAAAAUCAUAAUCUUCCGAGGUACUUUAAUUUUCCAAAUGUGUGGAGAAGCAGGACAUUAUCAAUGUGUGAAGAAGUAUUAUUCCGGCAUUGAUAAUGUCCAAGUACAUUGAUUUCACUAAUAAACUACCACUUGUAGUCAAUCUCCAAUGAAUCGUGUCAGCUUGGUCCGAGAAGUGAACUUCCAUCAAACGGCGGACUAGAUGGAGCCAGGCAUUCCAACAUUCUCCUACUGGAUAUCUUCAAAAUUGAAUAUUAAGAGGAACCGUUUGCAUAAUUGUAGCAACAUAAGUAUUUUUACAUUGUACAAUAUUAUAUUAAAGUCUGAUAUUAUAUGGCUAGAGGCGUCUCUCCUAACCACGUAUAUUCCCAUAACCUGGUCUUGUUACCAUUCCCAAUGUGAAACUUCACCCUAUGGAAAAAACCCUCCUUUGUUCUCAUUAAACCUUUCGAGAAUGGUGAGUCUGAAGGUUUCUCUGUAACUUGAGCCAAUGUUUUGGAUUGUACGUACUUAUUACGCAGAAUUUGUACCCAUGUACCUUCCAUCUCCAUUGAUAGUCUAUAUAGCCAUGUGAUCGAUAGGCAUUUAUUUUUUAUUUGUAAAUUCUCGAUUCCUAACCCACCUCGAUCUUUGGGUUUGCACAUCAUGUCCCAUUGAGCAAAUCUGUAUUUCUUUUUACUAUCGUCACUCUACCAAAAAAAACUUGGAUCAAUAAAAAUCAAGUCUCUUUCAUAUCCCCACUAGUACUUUAAAAAUGAUAAUAAGAGCAUAGAAAAACUUUUCAAUACUGAAUUUAGUAACACUAGCCGUCCACCAUAAGACAUAUGUAAGGCCUUCCAGCAACUUAGUCAUUUUUCAAACCGAUCCUCUAUACUCUUCCAUUCCUUAUUAGUGAGUUUUAUGAAUAGUGAUACCCAAGUAACUAAACGGGAGAGAAACCAUCUCACAUCCGAAUAAUUGUUUGUAUGUAUCUUCUUCUUCCUUCGCACGUCAAAAGCAGAACAAUUCACUCUUUUUAAAAUUUGAGUCCCGAUAACUGUUCAAACAGACAUAGGAUCAACUUCAUAUUUCUAUCUUUGUCAAGAUCAUGUUCCAUGAAAAGAACCGUAUCAUCCACAUAUUGUAGGAUGGACACCCCCCCAUCCACAAGAUGUGGAACAAGCCCUCCUACUAGAUCGCCCUCUUUAGCUCGACCUAUGAAAACUGUGAGCAUAUCAGCUACUAUGUUGAAUAAGAUCAGGGACAUCGAAUCUCCCUGUCUCAAUCCUUUGUGGGUUUAAAAAUAAUGACCAAUAUCAUCAUUCAUCAUAAUCCCAACACUACCAUCUUUAACAAAAGAAUCCACCUGAGACCUCCAAGUCUCAUUGCAUCCUUUCAUUCGUAAAGCUUGUUGGAGCAAAGGCGAUCUAACUUUAUCGUAUGCUUUUUCGAAAUCCACCUUAAAGAUAACUCCAUCGAGUUUCUUGGAGUGGAUUUCGUUAAGCGUCUUGUGUAGGACAACAACCCCCUCAAGGAUGUGUCUACCUGGCAUGAACGAUAUCUGUGUGUGUUGUACAUCCGAGUGGGCUAUCCGCGACAGCCUAUUCGUUACAACUAUAGUAAUUAUCUUAAAGCUCACAUUCAGCAAGAAAAUCGGCCUGAACUGUUCUAUCCGGAUGGCCCCCUCCUUCUUUGGUAUGAAUGUAAUUCUUCCAAAAUUGAAGUGAAAUAAUUGUAGGUGUGUGCUAAACAAGUCAUGGAACAUGGGCAUCCGAUCAUCUUUAAUAAUAUGCUAACACCUUUUAUAAAACUCAGCAAGGAACCCAUUUAUUCUCGGGGCUUUGUUUUACUUCAUUUUCAUAAUUGCUUCAAACACCUCUUUCCCGAUAAAUGGGGCUGACAAUACCUCAUUCUCUUCAUCGUUGAGUUGAGGAAUGUCGAUACGGAGUUAUCUUCAUGAGCUCCGAAUAAUUUUCUAUAAUAUUCAGAUACACACAAUUUAAGGUUCUCAUGCCCUAUAAUUAUACCCUCAUCUUGUUCAAGCUGAAUUAUCUUUUUCUUCCUAUGUUUUCCAUUAGCUAUCAUGUGAAAAAAUUGUGUGUUAUCAUACCCUUGGACGACCCUAGACACUUUCACCCUUGGAUUUUGAGAGAGAAAAUGGAGCAGGAACUAAUUACAACGUGAAACGCGAGGUUGUCGAUCUUGGCGGAUGGUGGGUGUACUAUAUCAAAAACGGUGGGGACAUCGAAAAUUCGCACCAUACAAUGAUGGUCCAUGCACGGCACGGCACGUAACACGUUCACGCAUGAAUUCAUGAUAUUUUAGUCUGUCGCACCUAAGAAAAGUUGACCCAAUUCUCCAUCUUUUGAGGCAGCAUCUUAUACCCAAAAGCAGAUUGUGGAAGGCAGAAUAAAAUGGUGUGCCAGUGCCACUAGGGCAUCUCUAGUAUACUGGUACUUUCAAAAGUGCUUCCUAUUCACUUUACUCUUUUUUUAAGUACGUAUAUAUUUGGCUGACACAAUUCAUGUAGCACAUAGGCUCCACCCAGGGGCGGAGCUGGGCUCCGGGCACCCAGGGCCCAGGCCCGGGGCGUGGAAACUGUUACAGGCUAUUAUCUGUAUAUAGCUUUUUCUUCAGGCCCGGGGUGCAGCGCUGUCAAAAAAUAAGGCCCAAAGCCUGAUGGGCUGGAUCAUCUGAAACACACGCACACACGUACCAGGACCUUCCCAUGACGCUCGAUCUAACUUGUACUUAGGGACAGGAGAAGUCAGCGUUCGUGCCGCCGCGAACGAUCUAACGUGCUCGAUCUAACUGUCACAAUCAAUCUCCAACAGUCGAGAAUUCCGGCCGCCUUUUUCCGCCGUGGCACCGUCCCCGACUGCCUCCGCCCUCCCACUUUCCCGUCGCUCCAGGCUACCGCUGUCGUGUGCGCCGUUUGUCCGUGCAGUGCGCCAUCCCCUGCUGGCUGUUUCACUGCUACAAGUUGGUAUUUUCCUUUGAUGUUUUAGCGUUGCAUUUGUAUCUUGUUGUACAAUGUCAAUGUCAAUGUCAAUGUGACCUCCGGAUUACUGUGUACCAACAUGUAAACUACUCCGAACUAAACUUUAACUGAAACUGUGUGUGCGUGUGUCUCCCAGUCAUAUAUCUAGGUUGUUAUUGAACUCAAAUUGAUGUAAUUGCCAAUUUCAUUCAUACUGUAGAAAAAGAAGAUGAAAAAAAUACUUUUCACCUGUGUCCGCAACGGGGGUUUAUAUACCAAUCAUUUCACAUGGAGGGAAUCAAAUGGCUGAGAUGACUGAAUCAAUACAACAAAUUGAAACAACAAUAGAAAUGACUGGUUUUUACAUUUUUAUAUGUCGUGCAAACGGCGUUUACCUCGUCGAAGUGGUAAGUUUUUAGAUUUGUAUCAAUGAUAAUUGUUUCACUUGAUGUUUUUGUUUUUUGUGAAAUUAUAUAUGUUUAAUGCCUUGAAGGUGUUGAUUCUUCUACCGUUGAUCAAGUUAUGGGAGGCACCGAUGAAGUAAUCAACAGAUUUGUUUUUUUUUUAUUUCUAUAUCACUAUUUGUACUUAUGACAUGUUUUAUCUAUUUUCUUAGAUCAUUUAACAUCAGGUUUAAUUUGUAGAUUUAUUGAGAAAUUGAACUUUAUUUUUGUAUGGUUCCGCAUCAGGUAUUUUUUUGAAAUGGUAUGCUAUAUAGCUUUAAGUGCCAAUGUUUUUUCAUGUUAUCUAGAAGAAAUUCUGCCCGGGGUUUGCUUCAUUCCUGGCUCCACCGGCGGUGCAUGUUAUCCCGGACACAGUGACUUGUCUUGCGGCAUGUGAGGAACCAGCAUUUGAACAAAACAAAAAAGGAACCUUCAUUGGAAAAUUAGUGCCGUUCAUUGCCUUUGCCGUUUGAUGGUUUGGUAUGGUCAGUAACUGCUAGCACCAUUAGUAGAAAACAGGGCUUUAGUUGGCCUGGUCUAAUAAGAUUAUUAGUCGUGGUCGUGGCGAGCCUCGUUCAAGGCGUGUACGUCCUGAAGCAUGAUCGGUCAUGGCGAGCCUCGUUCAANNNNNNNNNNNNNNNNNNNNNNNNNNNNNNNNNNNNNNNNNNNNNNNNNNNNNNNNNNNNNNNNNNNNNNNNNNNNNNNNNNNNNNNNNNNNNNNNNNNNNNNNNNNNNNNNNNNNNNNNNNNNNNNNNNNNNNNNNNNNNNNNNNNNNNNNNNNNNNNNNNNNNNNNNNNNNNNNNNNNNNNNNNNNNNNNNNNNNNNNNNNNNNNNNNNNNNNNNNNNNNNNNNNNNNNNCCACUUCGAGAUGCGGUAGGCGUCCAUGGGCGCUACCGACUCCUCCAUUUUCAUUGUGGUUUACACGUUCCACCUCAUCGGCCCCAUGGUGGCUGCCAACGCCCCGCAUUAUGUCAUCGCCUUCGGAGGGACCGUCACCAAGAAGGCUCGGUGUCCAGGGACGCCGAACUUGAUUUUCUGCUCAUACGAAGCGUCAGCGAGCACACCUCUCGCUUCUGCAUCACGAUGUAGACCAUUUAUGAAGUCGUGGUGGCCAUGAAGCAUGGUCGCGUCUGACUGGACACUCGCUAGGGUCCACCAUCUCAAUUCAUGGUGGGAAGAUUAUGGCCUGGGCAAGGGUCAUCCUAACUACAUUCCUCUUCAACACGUCGCUGCUCUGCGCUGGUGGAGAGGAUUCCACGGAGGAAGGUGGAGCAGGGCAUCGACAUCACCAAGUGCUUUGUCAUGUACAGUCGGGUUGUGUGAUGUAAGACGACAAUAGCGUACGUGUGGGAGCAGAGGAGGUCGUGAAAAUCCGUCCACUGGCGAGAAUGGUGCCGGCGACGGCUGCCGGAGGUGCGGGCGGCCGGCGACGCAAAUUCCGAUGACAGUGGCGUGAUCGAGCAGGAGUUGUGCGGCUUCUUAUUUUUGGCUGGACUAGAGAGAGAGAGGGGGAGGGAGGGAGGGAGUGAGGGAGAGAAAGAGANNNNNNNNNNNNNNNNNNNNNNNNNNNNNNNNNNNNNNNNNNNNNNNNNNNNNNNNNNNNNNNNNNNNNNNNNNNNNNNNNNNNNNNNNNNNNNNNNNNNNNNNNNNNNNNNNNNNNNNNNNNNNNNNNNNNNNNNNNNNNNNNNNNNNNNNNNNNNNNNNNNNNNNNNNNNNNNNNNNNAGAGGGAGGGAAGGAGGGAGAGGGGGGGAGAGGGAGAGGGGGAGAGCAAGUUUAGGGAGUCAAAAACUCAAAAUUUGAAAAGUUUUGGGUUUAGGGGGUCUUUUUGCGCAAAAUGUCACUUGUUCUUCCCAAAUCUGAGUUCUAAAGGUGCCCAAAACCAAGGUUGCCACUAUAGAGAACCCUCCCCCCUGUUUUAAUUAUUGUUAGCGGCCAGAUCAAUAGCAUAGAAGCCAAUCCUUCUCUGAAGGAAUCUGUAGGUCAAAUGACCAAAUGAUAAACGGCCACGAUUAAUGGAAGACACUUUUGCCAGGGACCAUACAUAUUGGUUAAACUCCGAGAUUGAGCAGAAUGACCGGUGGUAAACUAAAUAGUUAGGGAAUUCCCUCUACGGACAUCUAUACGAUUAAAAAUAGCACUGCUCCAACUAGUAAUGAUGCCCCUAGGUACAAGGAAUCUAAAUAAAUUAAUAAAAAUAUAUCAACAAUUGUUAAUGAAAGCAUGAUCAAAGGACUGCUUCUUAAUUCGUGGAGGCAAAUAACAGCAUAUCGUCUAACAUCAAUAACAUUAUGACAGAAAUAAUAUUUUAUCGUCAAAAUUUAAACCAUGAAACUGCAAACACAAAAUAUAAGGUCUUAAGAGAAACCAUCAGAAAAUUACUAGUAAUAAAAUANNNNNNNNNNNNNNNNNNNNNNNNNNNNNNNNNNNNNNNNNNNNNNNNNNNNNNNNNNNNNNNNNNNNNNNNNNNNNNNNNNNNNNNNNNNNNNNNNNNNNNNNNNNNNNNNNNNNNNNNNNNNNNNNNNNNNNNNNNNNNNNNNNNNNNNNNNNNNNNNNNNNNNNNNNCUAGUAAUAAAAUAACCCAUAAGCAAGAUACUAGUAAUAAAAUAACAAAAUGCUGCGAAGUAGCAUCUUCUUGUAGAUUAAUUAGCCAGCGUCUUCAACCUCACUUUUGGUCGCGCCAGUUGAUGAGGGAAAGCAUCUCUUUUUCACCUUGGAUUUCCGGAUUCUGCUUUCAGGUUGAAGGUUCACCUUAAAGCCAUCAUACUUAUUGGAUCUUGAGCUCCUCCUCAAGUUAGCAGCAUCAAUAGGAGUUGUAAUCUUGCGUUUAGGGUGCUUCUCCUCAGGAGAAAUAUCAGUGAUAACAUCGGAGCCUGCAUUGGAAUCCUGAUCUUGACCUGGCUCACUCUCGUGUGGCUGCUUGAACAUGCUAUAGAGCAUUAGUCCUUUAAUUACGUGUGCUUGUAGUUGCAAAUAUGUAAUGCCCUAGGAUUUGUGUUGGGGCAAAAGAAGUUGAUUCCAAGAAAGAAAAAUGGUGUUGCAAAUGACAAAAGUCACGGAUAAUAUAAGUAUGCAUUACGAUGUAUGGUGACAUAAUUUGCACAAGCACGUCAGCCAAAUAAACAUGCGUUACUAAUAACUCGGGGACAUGAAUUUGUUGCCAUUGUGUGCCUCCGUAUAUUUCUAAUUACAUGCACCAUUAAUUGACGUGGGGCGUGGAAACUAGUAUACAACUAUAUAUGUAAUACUCCAUCGGUCCCAAAAUAUGUGAGCACGUGACAGCAUAUAUAGUUGGUCUUCAGAUGCAUAUAUAACACACAAAACUACCAAACUAGAACUAGUAGCAGUAGCAGAGAAGGAAAACAUAAUGCAUAUAUACUCCUGUGCUUUGUAAUCAGCAUCGUGCACCAGAGGACUAAACUUUCUCAAAGAAUAGAAAAACUACAAGUCUUGGACUAGGUACUCACCCUUGGGCAUCGACCAGCGCAUGAUCGGAGGCGGAGCACGAGGUGCAAUGUGGCGUGGUCCUGGACGGCAUAGUCGGCCAAGGUGUGACCAUCUUCCAGCUGUCUCCCGGCAAAGAUCAACCUCUGCUCCUUGGCGGCAAUGCCGUGUCUCUCCUGGAUCAUGGCCUUGACACAGUUGACGGUAGUGUGAAGAUCAUCAAAAUAGUGGGUAGUGGUCUUGCCACUCAACCCUUUGACAAAGAUUUCGAUCUUGCUUGUCUUACGCAGACCGAGGCAAAGAGUGGAUCUAUCACGGAUGCGAUAGUAGGCAACGCUGCGCCUUUCGUCUAGCUCCUCGUCGGCGAAGAUAAGGCUCUGCUGCUCGUGAACCUUGGCCUUGACGAUGUUGAUGGAGUCCGACGGGUCGACCUUGACGGUGAUCUUCUUGCCGGCGAGGGUGUCCACAAAGAUCCACAUCUAUAUAUAUUGAAUAAAAGCACCAAGGUGUCAGACCCGAACUGCUCGNNNNNNNNNNNNNNNNNNNNNNNNNNNNNNNNNNNNNNNNNNNNNNNNNNNNNNNNNNNNNNNNNNNNNNNNNNNNNNNNNNNNNNNNNNNNNNNNNNNNNNNNNNNNNNNNNNNNNNNNNNNNNNNNNNNNNNNNNNNNNNNNNNNNNNNNNNNNNNNNNNNNNNNNNNNNNNNNNNNNNNNNNNNNNNNNNNNNNNNNNNNNNNNNNNNNNNNNNNNNNNNNNNNNNNNNNNNNNNNNNNNNNNNNNNNNNNNNNNNNNNNNNNNNNNNNNNNNNNNNNNNNNNNNNNNNNNNNNNNNNNNNNNNNNNNNNNNNNNNNNNNNNNNNNNNNNNNNNNNNNNNNNAGACCCGAACUGCUCGAGCUAGCUCUCUCUCACUCUCUCACUAUGGAUCAGAGGUAGACGAAGGUGUUUUUGUGCCGCGUGCAACAUGCAGCUUUUCUGUUUCAUUCCUCCACUUAAGCAACGAAUACAAAGCUAACUGAAAACGAGAGAAUCGGGGAAGGAGCAGGUCGUGUGCGUUGCCAUCCCAACGCCCCGCGCGCUUCGCCCGUGAUGCGCCCAUGACCAUCUUGUUUGUGUCAUCCCACGAUCAGGUCAAGGCCGCAGCUAAAGGAAGAUCUAGCCUAGUUUACGCCCGAGUCGCAGCUCAGGUUAUUUGAAAUCAAAAGCGAAAGAUACGGUGGCGCCUUCCUCUCUGACGAAACUGACGGAGAGGGAGAACACCAGGUGGUAGUCUGACGAAACUGAAGAAAACUCCCAGCAUCUGCAACUGUUAGCUGACACAAGGAUCAGCAAUUUGGAGGGUUAUAUUUUGCUUGAACUAGGGGAUACUAGAAUGAACAAAAAGGAAAACUAAUUUACCCGUCGACGGAUGGGGAUUAAUAAGCAAACCUAAUGGAGUACGUUCUGGUUUUGUGCUACAGAUGAGAUCAACAACUAGCUCGUGUACCUUCCUGCGUGAACUCGAUGGCGACGGAGAGGCGGAAGGAACCGAUCCGGUGUUGUUUGUUGGCUCGAAAUCGGUAGACCAAUGGAGAGGUGAAUAUCGUGAUGGAUAUGUAUAUAUAUCGCCAACGGCCCACAUCCCACGGAUAUGGUUUAAUCUGCAGGUUCCUUCCAAGCCAAGGUGCGUGAUUUUGCCUUCGGAAUCGGCCCUUUCCAUUUUAUGAGACUACCGUGACUUAUCAUGGGCUUAAGCUGGCCGGAAGGAACCUGUGUUGGUGUUGAGAUGGGUGGAUUGGGGGAGAGCUGAGAAGAACAACCAAAGUUUGCGCUGCUGAACUGCUGCAGCUUUUCGCGUUUGUGUUCCCUUUUAUUCAGCGAUAGAAUCGUGCGCGCAGUGAGACUCGCUCAGCUACUAGAUCGUGCCAUCCCACGACCUCGAGCGCACUCCUGCCACUCCUACUAUGGCGCCGCAGAUCGCACACGGCGCGUCUUGCGGCCCAGGCUAACUAACCAGCGAAAAACAGUCUAACUGAAUGUGUAACUAACCUAGCUACGGCUACGGCUUCGGCGUUCUUUCUGACGAAACUGAAGAAAGAAAGUAAACGGUAGGGCGCUGGUGCGGCAGGAUUAGGCUAACAAUUCACCCCCUUAAUUCUGCCACACCGAUCUUCGCUCGCAUCUCCACGAACUUGAUCUUCCCCAGCGCCUUGGUGAGGAUGUCCGCGAGUUGCUCAUCAGUGCCGACGUGAUCAACGUCGAGCUUGUUCUCUUCCAAACACUGACGGAUGAAGUGAUACUUGAUGUCAAUGUGUUUGCUCCGGUCAUGGUGCACUGGGUUCUUGCUCAGGGCGAUUGCGGAUUUGUUGUCGACGUAGAGUUGGAACUUCUCCGUUGUUCUCCCCGUUAGGUCAGCCAGUAGGCGGCUGAGCCACACUCCCUGGCACGUCGCCGCCGCCGCAGCCACAUACUCCGCCUCGCAGGAUGAUGUUGCCACCACCUUCUACUUCUGCAAGGUCCAGGUGAUCGUGCUGCCUCCGAGAAAAAACACCACACCGGAUGUGCUCUUGCGGUCGUCCAUAUCACCGCCAUGGUCGCUGUCGCUGAAGCCGACCAGCGCAGGGGCCCCAGCACCCCUUUUGUAGCUGCAUCCAUAGUGCAAAGUGCCUCUGAUGUACCUGAGAAUUUGCUUCACUGCAGUCCUGUGCCGCGUGCUAGGAGCCUCCAUGUAUCGGCUUGUCACUCCUUCAGCCAGAGCGAUGUCAGGGCGCGUGUUGACGAGGUAGCGCAGGCACCCUAUGAUGCUGCGAUACUCUGUCGCGUCCGCCGGCGGCGAACCAUCCUCCUUACUCAGCUUGAGCCUCACCUCCAUGGGAGUUUGGCUCGGGUUGCACCCGGCCAUGCCGGCGCGCUCAAGCACCUGCUCGGCGUAGCCUCGCUGUGAGAGAGUGAUCCCAUUGUGCCCCUGCUUCACCUCUAUCCCGAGAUAGUAUGACAGCAGUCCGAGGUCGCUCAUCUUGAACAAGUGUUGCAUCUCUACCUUGAACGUAGCGAUGUCGUCGCCGUCUGUCCCUGUAAUGAUCAGAUCGUCGACAUAGACGCCUACUAGAAGGUACGAGGUCUCGUUGCCGCGCCUGUACACUGCAUGCUUCAAGGGACUGCGAACGAAACCGAGUUCACAGAGGGAUGCGUCGAGCUUUGCGUACCAUGCCUGUGGAGCCUGUCGGAGCCCGUACAAGGCUUUGCUAAGCUUGAGGACGCUGUGCGGGUUGUCGUUGUUGAUGAAACCUUCUGGCUGGUGGACGAAAACUUCCUCGGCAAGGUCACCAUUCAGGAACGCCGACUUGACGUCCAUGUGGUGCACGGACCAGCCAGCGUGCGCGGCGAGCGCGAUCAGAACGCGCACCGUCUCCAUCCGCACCACUGGUGCAAACACCUCGUCGAAGUCCACCCCCUGGCACUGGGCGUACCCUUUCACGACGAGCCUGGCCUUGUACUUGACCACGUUCCCUUCGGCGUCCUUCUUCAACUUGAAGACCCAUUUGAGCCCGAUCGCUCGUGACCUGGUGGGCAGUGCCGCCGGCGUCCAUGUGUUGUCGUCGGCGAUGGCCUUCAUCUCGUCCUCCAUCGCUGCCCUCCACUCGAGGGUGGACAGCGCCUCCUCGACACACACCGGCUCGUCUGCUGUGGCGAAGCACAGUGUCUCGAUCUCGUCGUCGUCGAACACUGGGUUGGGCCCCUCCGGAGGUGUGGGCACGGGCUUUGCGGCGUUAUACACGCUCGCCAGGUACCUGUACUUGGGAACUGCAUCUGCGUCCGCUGCCGCGUCCAAGUUGCUGUCGCGUGAGGAGGGAGAGAGCCGUCCUCCUGUUGCCGGGGGCGUGGCGACCGCGGUCGACGCCUGCCUGAGAGUGUCAGGGGAUUUCGUGUGCGUCCCUGUCUCCCCGGCGUCGAUCACCUCCUCGCCUGUCUCGGUGUUGUACGUCAUGGUGAAGAACGGCGACAGUGUCUCGCCUCCUCCACCAUCAGAAGUCCACGGCCAUGCCCGCCGUUCCUCGAACACCAGGUCACGGGUGACAUGCACUCGAUUUGCCGCCAGGUCAUACACCCGAUAGGCCUUCGAGCCCUCCUCAUACCCGAUGAACACGGUGAGUACGGAGCGAUCGGAGAGCUUGGUUACUCCGGGUCCCGUCUUCUUCAUGUGGGUGAUGCAGCCGAAUGUGCGAAGGUGUUCGACCGUGGGGCUCCUCUUGUUCCAGGCCUCGUACGGCGUCACGCCGUUGAGGCUUCUCGUCGGUGCUCUAUUGAGGAUGUAGACGGCGCAUUUGACCGCCUCUCCCCAGAACGUAGCCGGCAUGCCCAUGCCUUUCAGCAUGCACCGAGCCAUCUCCACCACGGUCUGAUUGCGUCGCUCGACGACGCUGUUUUGCUGCGGUGAGUAGGGCGUGGUGGUGUGGUGCACGAUGCCGUUCUUCUCAUAGUAGGCCUUGAACUCGCCGGAGUUGAACUCACCACCCCUGUCCGAGCGGAAUGCGCGCAGGCGGCAGCUCUGUUUCGCCUCUGCGAGAGCCUGGAUCUUCUUGAACCGGGAGAACGCCUCGUCUUUGGACUUGAGGACCUCGAGCCACAUGUAUCUACUAUAGUCAUCAACUACUAACAAGAAGUACUGAUUACCGCCUGCUGUAGCUGGUUUGAUCGGCCCGCAGAGGUCGGUGUGCACGAGAUCCAGAGCGCGCUUAGAUCGGUGCGGGCUCGCACGCGGGAACGCCAGGCGAUGCUGCUUCCCGAGCAUGCAUCCAUCGCAGAUUUUGUCGACGUGGUCCACCUGCGGCAUCCCGCGCACCAUGCCCCUCGUGGACAUGGCCUUCACCGCCCGGAAGUGGAGAUGCCCAAGCCGUGCGUGCCACAGCCACGCUGGUUCGUCCAGCUUGGCCACCAGGCAGACCGGCAUGGCAAGGUCCAGCCGCAGUAUGUACAGACGAUUUGCCGUGCGCUUGACACGGACAAGGAGUUGCCGCUGUUGAUCGUAGACGCAGAGAUGUCCGCCCUCGAUCACGGACCUGCAACCCUUCUCAUCAAGCUGUCCGAGCGAGAUGAUGUUGGCCCGCAGCUUGGGGAUGUAGUACACAUCCGCGAGGACGCGCUGGUUGCCAUUCGCGCAACGGAACAUGACGCUCCCCUUGCCACUGAUCGUGACGAGGGAGCCGUCCCCGAAGCGCAUGGAGCCAUGCAGGGUGUCAUCGAGGUUGGUGAACGCAUCGCGCGCGCCGGUCAUGUGACUACUGGCGCCGGUGUCCAGGUACCAGGUGCCAUGUGCACCGGUGGUGGCCGGAACGAUGCGCUCUUCGUUGAGGAAGACUGCCUGAGCGCGCGCUGGUACCUCCUGUACGUUGCUCGCCACGCCCGUGCCCUGGACCGGGCGUUCGCCCUCCUCGAUGGUCGCCAGCAGGAGCGCUGGUGGCUCGACAUCCGCCUCGGCGAGGUUCGUCGCCUCACCCUGGUUCUGGUGAUCACGUUCCGCUUUGCGACACUCCCUGGCCCAGUGACCAGGAAUGUUGCAAUAGCGGCACUUUCCCUUGCGCUUCACGCCAGAGGCCUUCUUGCCUCCGUCGCCGCGCCCGCCGCCCCGCUCCCCGCCUUGAGGUCGCGGGCCGGAGUGCCCCUUGCCGUCCCUGUUGCCAGAGAAGGAUCCCUGGCCUUGGUGUUGCUGGCGCGCGUUCCACUCCCUCUCCGAGAGGAGUAGCUCGCCUACCCCGCGAUCCACGUCGUCGAGGGCGUAGACCUCUUCAACGGACUGCAGACGGCCGCACAGCUCCUCGAUCGACAGUGUCUGCAGGUCGACGAAGGAUUCAAUGGCCAUAGCCAUCUGUUUGAACUUGCGCGGCACCGCUCAAAGGAAUUUCAGCACGGCGCGGUACUCCGACACAGGGUCGUUAAGCAGCUCCAGCUCGUUCACGAUUGCUAUCAGACGAAGAGAGAAGUCUUCGAUAGACUCACCAUCGCGAAAGCGGAUCUCUUCGAACUCGCGGCGACGGGUUUGCGCCUUGGCCUCCCGCACACGCUCACUGCCCAUGCGCAUCGUGCGCAGAGUCUCCCACGCCUCCUUGGCUGAGUCCUUGCCAGCGAGGGCAUGAAUCAUCUCCGGAGGCACCGCGCGGAGUAGCGCAGCCAGAGCAGCGCGAUCGUCGCGAUCGCCGUCGCCGUACUCCAUGGCCUCCCACAGGCCCUGUGCCUACAGUUGCACGCGCAUCACCAUGGCCCAGUCGACGUAGUUGGUGCGAGUGAGCGUCGGGUAUUGGGCAGAACCAGCGAUCUCCCUCACCGCUCGCUCGCGAACCACUAGCUCGCCAUGACGUCCACGUCGUGGCGGAGGCGAGUGCGACAACCUGCGUGGGCGCACUGGCGACCUGGAGCCGAGGCGUUGCGGGCCGUCUCCGGCGCCGCUGUUGUCUCGCUGCCCGUUGCCGCCCGCGUCCUGCUGGACGCCGCUGCCGUCGCCUUGCUUCUCAUCGCUGGCCAGCGCCUGGUGGACACUGCCACCAGCGCCCUGCCGCACGCCGCGCCCUCCAGCCAUGGAUGCUUGAUGGCUCUGAUGCCAAUUGUUGGUGUUGAGAUGGGUGGAUCGGGGGAGAGCUGAGAAGAACAACCAGAGUUUGCGCUGCUGAACUGCUGCAGCUUUUCGCGUUUGUGUUCCCUUUUAUUCAGCGAUAGAAUCGUGCGCGCAGUGAGACUCGCUCAGCUACUAGAUCGUGCCAUCCCACGACCUCGAGCGCACUCCUGCCACUCCUACUAUGGCGCCGCAGAUCGCACACGGCGCGUCUUGCGGCCCAGGCUAACUAACCAGCGAAAAACAGUCUAACUGAAUGUGUAACUAACCUAGCUACGGCUGCGGCUGCAGCGUUCUUUCUGACGAAACUGAAGAAAGAAAGUAAACGGUAGGGUGCUGGUGCGGCAGGAUUAGGCUAACAACCUGGAAUCGCCAUGCCCGAAAUUCGCACAGGCUGUGGGUGCACUCACCUGCCAAGUUCCGUCGCCCACUCAUUUUGCCUCGCGAUUCGCGUAGUAGGUCAGUCUUGCACGAUGACAUAAUAAGUUUUAAGUUUUAACGUUUGAGAACGUAUGUUUUGAUUUAAAGUUCAAAUUGUAACCAGCUUUGAAGAUAUAUAAAUUUAAGCAAUUUAUUUCUGUCGGUUGUAGACAUAAAAUAAUAAGUUUUUAUCGAUCGGUCAUACUAAGAUUCAAGCAGUGAAGCUUAACAUAUUUUUUCAAAAAUCAUCCAAAUAUAUUCAAAACGGAUCUUAUCUGAAAGCGAUUGUCAUGAGAAACACGGAUGUAAAAAGGAACCUUAAUUUUGAAUUUUUGUUUAAGUGAUAUGAAACUAUGAAAAUCGAAAACCGAAUUGAAAAACGGGCACCAGGGGUAUGAGUGCCGCGGCACUUGGGUGCCAAAAACCCUCUCCCCUACCUAAGCUACGGAUUGUCUAUCCCUCAGAAAAAAAAAACUAUGGAUUGACUAAAAAAUACCUAAGCUAUGGAUACGUCAUACAUAUCGGCUCUGAUUAUUCUAUUCUAUGAGAUUGCCGUGCCAAAAAAAAUGAUACUAUUCUAUCCUAUCAGAUAUGAACCAAGCGUGUGUUCAAAAAUGAAUCAAGAGAUUUAAAAAGAAAAAUACUAAAAGGAUUGCCGCAAUGUGCAGCGGUAGAGAUUUAGCAAACAAACGAAAUAAGAUACUUCAGUUCAAACUUUGGAGAUGCGCCACAAAUUUGUAGCGGUUGUUUCUCUCUCUUUUCUGAAACUUGUGCACCGGCAAGGGCCCAUAUUCAUAUUCAUACACCAACCUCCUUCAAUCUUCAAGGACUAAGCCUUUAGCCCAUCUUGGGCUGCCCCAUAGACAGCCCUCUUAAAAAAAUAUACUAAUUUUCAUAAUUCUCAUCCAGUGACCACGCACAAAAUAAAACCUCCCUAAUCCUUUUUUUUCAAAAGAGAUUCGAAUCUCUUAUAAAAGUUCAUCGCCAAAAAUAAAAAAUAUUUCAUUGAUUGCUCUAGACCUCCCGUAAUCUUGUUAUAUUAAUCAUCAUAAUAUCUAUUUCAUAUGUGUGGCUACAAUUUAUAUGCCAUCACACAGUUUUUUUAUCAUUUCAAUUGGAAUCCUAAUAAACCUUAAGAACUUGGUUAGAUUUGACAAAAUACACUUUGUGCGAAAGAUUUGCUGCAGACAAAACAUUAUCGACGAAAAUAUAUUUAUGUAAGUCAAAUAUCCAUAGACACGCGCAUUGGUAGACAUCCCCUGUUUGUCCGCAUAAUAUGGUAGUACACAAUGUGAUGCACGAAAUAUCUGCCAUCUUUUUCCAACAGCCAUUUUUUUUGCCAAAUUUGCACAAACAAAGCAUCCAAAAACACCCAAAUUUAAGCACAAACAUAGCUCAUUAACCAUAAUCUCAACAUACAAACAUAUCUAAUUAUACAUUCACCAUAGUCUCAUACAACGUUGUUAAUUAUCGAUGCAACAUUCGAAAUUCAAUAGUAAUUGAACAUAGAAGUACCUAACAAGACAUACCACAUAACAUGCAAAAAUAAACAGAUGCAAAACAGACUACCGGAUUUGAGGUGAACGGUGAAUGUGUUGGUGCGAUCAAUGUCGCUUGUGUCGUCGUCGGACCCCCUCCAGUCGUCGCAGUCCUAGAGGCAUCAUCAUUGGCGCGACGAUCGCUCGGGUUGCGAUGUCAUGGCAUUUGGGCAUUCUCGAUGCCCUGCUGUAGCAGCCUCACGUGGAUGCGGUGAUGGCGGUAGGCAUGAGACUGCAAUUCGCUCAUGGACCGGCACUUCGCCUCGCGGACCUACCUCUCGUCAUCAUAGGACUACUCAAGUGUGUCUUGAUCCUGGCCGUGUAAGCCCACACCACAAAGCUUGAUAGAUAUGCAUGUUAUAUAUAAAGUACAAAUUCACUUAAUUAUACAUUGUGGGACGAAUAUUGGGCAACGUCUUCGUGAUUUACUUAUGCAUUAUUGGAAAUUGCUAAAUUUUCCAACACAAACCCACACACCGCACUAUCGUAGGUGGAGCUAGAGGUGAAUAGUGGCCCCCUUCGGGAUGCCAUAGUCUUGCAUGGUGUGUGAUCAUGGUGUGUGUCCCCCUCCUUUUUGUGGAUCAUUUCCUUUGCUUUACACUUUCGACGGUAUUUGAGUCCUCAACAUCAUAGGUAAUGAUUUCCCCUGUAAGCCCAUUGACAAUGAUUUGAUAUAUUUUUCUUUUCUUUUUCACUAAUUUGGAUUGCUUACCACGUAUGACACGUGGCUGCUUCCUCUUUCUAUUAUAUCGCAUAUCGACGUGAAGAGUGGAUCCAUCCGAUAUCAUACUCAGCCAGAGUGCGCCUGCCCUUUAGCCCCUUCUUGACAUAGAUAAGGCGCUACUUAUCCAGAAUCUUUGCCAUGACGAUGUUGAUGGUGUCCGAUGGAUUGAUUAUGACGGUGAUCGCCUUGCCAUUGUGGGUCUGGACAAAGAUUUUCAUCGUUGAAAGAGAGCACCAAGCAUCAGCAAUUUGGAGGAGCAGAUAGUAGAACAAUUACCAAGGGAACAUUUGUUGCAUGAGUAAGAAAUCUCAAUCCGACUAAUUACAAUUAACGAUAAGCAUGACUUGGUGAGGAGGAUUGUUCACAUCAGUAAGAAUACUAUUCCGGACAUGGAGUUUUUAAUCCCGAGCUCAUAUACUCCCUCAUAAACAGUAAAAUAAAAAAAAGUAAAAUCAUUCAAAAAAAUCUGAUUUUUUUUAUAAACUUUGAGAAAUGUUUCUUAUGCUUACAAAAUUUCAGCUCGAAAUAACAUUUAUGAAAGACGUGACAAAAAAACAAAAUGCUAGUUUUGGAUACAUUUUGGACAGUUGAUUUUGUUUUUUCGCUGCGACUUCCAUGAAUGUUGUUUCGUACUGAAUUUUGGUACACAUGUAAAACAUUUGUCAAAGUUUAUCAUAAAAAAAUUCAGAAUUUUUUGAACUACUUUACUAUUUGUUUCGAUUUUACUGUUCACGAGGGAGCAUUUGUGCUCGGGAGUAGAAUAGGACUUCCCUACUAUUACUACUAGAUGAUGCCUCGCGCGUUGCUGCGAGACAUUGCUAAAACAAUGGGUAAGUAGUUGCUAAAAAUCUAUAAAUAAUAAAAAGCAAAUGUAAGCUUAAAAACAAUUAUUGUUAAAAAAUCUAAUUUCUAACAAAAUAUGGAGGAUAAAAUCUAAUGCAAAAAAACUACUUAUAAUUAAUAUGCAUGAAUUGAUGAUGUGGCACAAUUGCAUGCGUGGAGUAAUGCAAAAAAAUGUUAUUUAUAUGUUGCAUGCCUACUUGCUUAUGUGUCAUGGUUGCAUGGCUAGAAAAAUAUGAUAGUGCAUGCAUGAAGUAAUGCAAAACAUGUUAUUUAUGUCUUGCAUGCCUACUUGCUUAUGUGUCAUGGUUGCAUGCCUAGAAAAAUUAGAUAGUGGGUUGUAUCUAUUUAGAAAUAGGAGAUUAUUACAAACACAGCAAAUUUAAAGACUAAACCGGAGUGGGGAGGAACAUGAACAAACUCCACCCAUCUAAUGAUUCUGCAAUAUGGAUACAGAUCAGCGAGAGAUCUCGUGUUUCAAGAUGAAACCAGGAACCACAGAUCUUAUAAGUCACGCAUGCAACCUCCCCAAAUUUAACCCAUCGAUACAUAUUGUUUAGCAAACUUUGGACGUAGUGGGGAUAGGACUGUGUGCUGGCUUAACCAACUUGUGAUUAUGGAAUAAGUGCACUAUAUUUUCCUCCGCGAUAAAUAAAAAAAUUGAUGGGUCUAUGAUUGGAUGGUAAUAAAUUACGCAACCUAACGGAGCAGUAGGUACGUACUACCUCCGUAAAUCUAUACCUAAUAAUAAAGCGACUAUUGCUUCCGUCGGAAAACCCAUCACGUCAUUUUCAUAAAAAAAAUCUGUAAUUUUUGUUAUUCAACCCGCGCUUCAAUUUCUCAUUAUGGUGGAAUUAACAAUGGAGGGUUUGAUUUUUCAACAAAAUAGGAUAGGACUAACUACAUUAGUUUGUUAGGUUAUUAUUUUAAUAAAUCAAAAUAAUUAUAAAAAGAUUAAAAGCGUGUGGUAUUUUUUUUCUCCCGUUGCAACGCACGGGCUAUUUUGCUAGUCUAUAUCUAUACUUAUACUAAUUAGGGACUCCCUAGAAAUUAGCACGUUAAUUAGAAAUUAGGAGCCAUUAAUCUGGUGGACCAACGAUUUCUUACGGUGUAGAUCUAUCCGUAAUAUUAGUGGCUGAAAGUUUGCUCAAUUUUGGAAAAAAAAGUUUAUUCCUACAUGCCAACAAUCGUGACACGAUUCUGAUCCACCUUUUGUUCCUCCUCUAACUAANNNNNNNNNNNNNNNNNNNNNNNNNNNNNNNNNNNNNNNNNNNNNNNNNNNNNNNNNNNNNNNNNNNNNNNNNNNNNNNNNNNNNNNNNNNNNNNNNNNNNNNNNNNNNNNNNNNNNNNNNNNNNNNNNNNNNNNNNNNNNNNNNNNNNNNNNNNNNNNNNNNNNNNNNNNNNNNNNNNNNNNNNNNNNNNNNNNNNNNNNNNNNNNNNNNNNNNNNNNNNNNNNNNNNNNNNNNNNNNNNNNNNNNNNNNNNNNNNNNNNNNNNNNNNNNNNNNNUCCUCUAACUAACGAAAUCUCCCCUGAACAAAAAAACUCUAUCUCUCCUCAAGAGACAACCAAUCUCUAGCCUAAAAAACUAUCAAUCUACUCCUUCUACCCCACGACUUUUUCAUGGAAAACAAAUCUAUCCAAGGUUCUUCCUCUUAUACGUGAUCUCUCUCUCUCUCUCUCUCUCCCCGCCCUUUUCAAGCCUAACAAAGUAAGUUCGCUAAUGUACAGGAUGUGCUCAAGGAGAUUAUUAGAUCAAACAAAAUUCCUAAUCAGGAUCAGAUUUGUUUUCUUGCGCUAACACAUGAAUCCGUUGUUACUUUUUCUUUGAAUUUGAGUCUCUUCCCGACAUCUCUUCUUCAUGUCUCCAUGUCCCGUCCCUGCACUUCAAUCAAAAUUGGUUGUAGGUGUAAGCUGCUGCAGCCGCAAGCAGCGCAUCCUUCUCGGCCUCUUCGCUCUCCCACCCUCUAAUAUGGAAUCUGUUUUUCUGAGAUAAAGAAACUGUAUUCGCGUUGGUUGCGGUCUCGCCAAAAAGAUUGAACAAGUGCAUGUUUGAUCUGGAGGUUAUGUAUGUGCAUGUUCAGGUCAGUCGAGCGCAACUUCUACGUUGGAAUAGAUCGUGUUUAUAUCUCUAUAUACUCUCCACAGGUUGAAUCCCAAAUCUUCUCACGUACAAAUAUUUGGACACAUCAUGGAGUUUGGAUUGAAGCACAACUAUGUCCAUCAAGUUAGCUUAUAAUGUAUGAAUUAUUACACAUCCUGUCAGUUUGCAACAUCAUCUCAGGUCAACCUUCUCUCAUUGGGGGUGCCAAGGUUGUCUCUGUCCGUUCAUGUCAUCAUGCAGGUUUGAGAAUCGUCUUCACGUCCAAACAUUUUUAGAACAAUUUUUCUUUCCACUGGUUAUAAUAAAUACGCUGCUUACAAACUACCCAAGAACCUUUUGGUUAUCACUGUUCUAUGUUCUUCUUUUUCAGUUAAAGCUUUGGAUUUGGUAGCCGCUUCUAGAGGCAAAACUACAAGUACGAAUCUUCGAAAUUUUGUGUUAUUUUAUUUGUUUAUGGUCUAUCUGUCUAUUUUAUUACUAUAGAAACUAUAGAUUUUAAUAGCUACACAUCUGGUGGACCUUCAUAAUAACUGCAUAUAUUAAUUUGUUACUUUGAUAUACUAAUUUAUAUUACACACGUUUAUUCUGAAGGAUAAAAUAUUUUCUCAAUUCGAUUUAUUUAUUGCAUAGGGAGACACGUAGGUGCCCGUUGCCUGAACCCCCAAAAGACAAUAUCUUCUGAAAAGAAAAUAUACAAUAGCCUCCUGCUUGACAGUCUGCCAUGCAUGCGGGUUUAAAAACUAAAAAAGGAAGACGAUCUAUUAUGGAGGAAAUUUGCAGCCGAGCAUAUUCCGAAUUCUGUCCUUGAUAGAUCGGUGCCGCGGCUUCAAGAUAGGAUUUGUGUCACGAUUGCAACUCAGGAUUUGUGUCAUGGCUGAAGGUGGAGAAGCAGCCUAUGCCUGACCAUGGCCUCUACGCCUGGGUCGACUUCCUCCCCAUCUAUAGUGGGAGGUGACCAAUUUUUGUGUCAUCUCUUAACUUUCCAAUCACGUUUGUGCGUUGCUCAACCAGUAUUUAAAAAUUGUGUUGUGUAGCAUGCUGAUUGCACCCAGGCAUUGUAAAGAAUCGUUUGGUCCCCUAGGAUUAAAUUUUGCAAGGAACUGACUAUGUCUGGAUUUAUCCCGUCACAUACAUACAGAGAAGUUUAUACUCUAACCCUAUAAUUAAACUAAUUCUAAAUAUGCUGCUACUACCUAAACUAUAUGUGUGUAGGUUCUGAUGCAAAAUCUAAUUAAUCGACAUUCCAAUAAUCUGGGCUACUCUUUUUGGAAGAACAUAUUCUAAUUCGAGUUAUGUCCAAUGCAUCUAGAGAUUGGUGUGGCAUGGAGGUUGCAAUGAGUUGCAGGGAAGAGAAGAUGUCCUUGAGAAAUGUGGCGACAAGGGCGCCCGUGUUGGGUUGUAGGUAUCGCUGGCCAUAUAGUUUUUACUGUUACUCCAGAUCUGCUUCGUUUUGUAUUCUUGAUGGUUUUCCUUGGUAAUCAUUUGUAUGCACACAUAUACAUUUUUGCUGUAAUUAAUGGAUCGAAAGGUAUAUAUCAGUCCCAUUAGAAUUAGUAUUUGUGCUAUAUUGAGUUUGGACAUGGAGUUAAUGUUGAUCGGAAACGCUCUAUAAACUAGAUUAAUAUAUACUAUUUCAUUUUAUUCAUGUGCCGUAUCUAUUGUAUUCAUAUGCAGCUUUUUUCAAUUGUAGACAUAAUUUAUAUGGGGAGAGAAUGGAUUGGUCAGUCUCUCUUAUCAGAAGUGCGAUGAGACACGAUGAGACAUGCUGAGAUCAUUGCGGUGAGACACGAUGAGAGACAACCACACAUGAAUUUUAUUUCAUAGUUUUCUUUAUGUUGAUCUAAACAUGAUCUAACAACAGAAAUUCAUUUUAGUUUGACAUUUGGAAUGCACGAGAGCAACAUAACGCAUUCUGCGUACUAUGAUUCACAAAUUAAUCGAACUCAUUAUAUCAAAAGUUUGACAAGGAAAAUGCAUGCUUGCACAAACUUGGUGUAUAAGUAAUCUACAUAAAAUUAGGAAGUAAUAAUGUUGCUACGAUCAUAUAAUAAACUUGUGCAAAAAUAACAUUAUAUUCCUAAUCACUUGCAUCAGUAAUUAAAUCAUGUGGAAUGUCCAAAAACAAUUCUUGACAUCCACAUAUAUUAGAGUUGUAUGAUUUUUAUAAUAUUCUCACAUAUGCAAUUAUAGAAUCUUAGGUAUUUUUAAUCAAUUGUCAUAAACCUGUUUUUGCUCCCUCGCUAUUAUUUCAUUAACUUAAUUUGCACAAUAUAUGAUUUACAAUCAGUGUUUAUCAGGAUUGAUCUAGCUCCAGUCCAUACCAUGUAUGUCAUUCAAUAUUUUUCUGAUGUCCAUGUGAUUUAACUCCAUAAUUUAUUUAUUUAGAGUUAUUUUAUUCAAUGAAUAAGACCUAAAUGUAAAUCCUCACAUAAUGGAGGUGCUCACGAAUUUAUCGACGAGGGAACAUGGUACUCUAAGCUUACAAACGUCACAUUUUAAGCCAACUCUGCCAAGAAAGAAAUGUACCUAAAUUCAAAUAUUGAAUUAAUUAUUGAUUACUAAAAUCACUAUAUAAUGUUCUGAAAUUUAAAAUGUAUAAAAAAAAACUAGCCGUGCAAAUGCACGGGUUGGCGACUAGUGUACAUAAUUUGACAAAAAGAUCUAAAAUGUCUCUCAAGUUUCCUGUAAGAAAUACUCCCUAUUCCGUUAAGAGAUAGAGACACUGUCCAAUAUACAAAAUACAACUGUGGCCGCUGUUUUACAUGAAUAUGGCUGUCAAAAUUUUGAAAAGAUAUGCAAUGCUCUCGUGUGUUUCUCAAUUUCAGAGUGAAUGUGGUAAUGUAUGGGUACCAUUACGGCAGGGGCUGCGUAAAUUCAUGAAAUACCCUCCUCGAGCAAAAUAAGCAAGCAAAGGAAGCUAUUUCAUGCUAUAAAGAAAUCAGCAGGCCAAAAUUCAGCAGUUAGCCGCAUAAUUCUUCUCUGGAUGGAACCAAAAUAGAGCACGCAAAAAAACUUCGAACCAUACUGAAAGGCACAUGACAUACAUUCGACCAUACUGAUUGUACCAAAAUACUUCUGACAUACUAGCGUGCACUCUUACGCAGGUUUCCACACGGCUGGACAAUUGGCAAAAAAAAGGGAUGGAUCUGAAGCAUAGGGAGAAAAACUGGGUAGCACUCGCUAGUCAGCCACGGAGGCAAUGGUGGGGCAAAUUGCUCAUAUCAGUCAAAUAUAAACUACAUACUUCAGGUUUCGUCGAUCGUUGGCGGAGGCAGGCCCCUGCUCGUCUCCCCUGUCUCCGCCCCUGCACGGAGGCAGAGCACGAGGUGAAUCGUGUCCUGCUGCUUGACGCCAUACUCCCCCACGGUGCGAUCGUCUUCCAGCUGUUUCCCGGCAAAGAAGAGCCUCUGCUGGUCCACAGNNNNNNNNNNNNNNNNNNNNNNNNNNNNNNNNNNNNNNNNNNNNNNNNNNNNNNNNNNNNNNNNNNNNNNNNNNNNNNNNNNNNNNNNNNNNNNNNNNNNNNNNNNNNNNNNNNNNNNNNNNNNNNNNNNNNNNNNNNNNNNNNNNNNNNNNNNNNNNNNNNNNNNAAUGCCCCUCUCAACCUGUAUCUUAGUCUUGACACUGUCGAUUGUUUCCAAGUCAUCCACCUCAAGGGCGAAGAUCUUGGCUGUCAAUGUUUUGAUUAAGAUUAGCAUCUUCCUUCCCGGGGGCCGCAAAUCAAAGUGAAGGGUGCAUUCAUCCUCAAUGUCGUAAUCAGCCANNNNNNNNNNNNNNNNNNNNNNNNNNNNNNNNNNNNNNNNNNNNNNNNNNNNNNNNNNNNNNNNNNNNNNNNNNNNNNNNNNNNNNNNNNNNNNNNNNNNNNNNNNNNNNNNNNNNNNNNNNNNNNNNNNNNNNNNNNNNNNNNNNNNNNNNNNNNNNNNNNNNNNNNNNNNNNNNNNNNNNNNNNNNNNNNNNNNNNNNNNNNNNNNNNNNNNNNNNNNNNNNNNNNNNNNNNNNNNNNNNNNNNNNNNNNNNNNNNNNNNNNNNNNNNNNGGGUCGACCUUGACGGUGAUCUUCUUGCCUGCGAGGGUUUUGACAAAGAUCUGCAUCUGUUAAAUGAGCAUACCAAACAUCAGCAAUUUCGCUGGACAGAUAGUACGACAAUUGGGAAAACAGUUGUUGUUGCAGUAAGAAAGCUUUUUCAGAUUAAUUACAAAGACUAAUCAAUGACAAGUGUGACUUGAUGAGGAGUCUUGUUCCAUCUGAACAGAUAUUAUCUGUAGUACUAUGGCAGUGACUUAAGAGAAGAUACAAAAUCAGUAUGAACAUCCAAACUAUUUUUGUUUAUGCUGCCAUCGGUAAACACACGGAACAAAAAAAAUGAACUAGCUACCUUAACAUAAAAUCUCUGAGGAUUUCUGAAUUUUGAUAACCUUUGAACCCCUCUAAGUUCAGAACUUGACAUAGCAUCAUUAUCCAUCUGAUCUAACUAAUUUUAAGAUCUGGAAAUACUCUGCAGCAAAUAAACAAGAAUGAAACACGUUCUAAAGAUUAUAAAUUAUGUGGUGUGUUCAACUAUUUGUCAGUGGGAGUGGGAGUUCGCGAUCAACAACUGUAAAUGCAAGUAGUCUGCCAAAAGAUAGUUUGAUGGUUACAAAAAAGGAUGCACCGGAUAUAAAGUUGUCUCAAGACACUCUGAAGCAAGCUACAUUAACUGGUUUUACCAAUGCCGACUUCUCAUAUCCUAAUGCGCAGAUACUGUACUCAGUAUUUACAGAGCAUCUUGUCAUACUAGUACCAAAUCAAAUGAGUCAGGUAUAUAUUUUUAUAAUGCACUAGAGCAGAAAAUUACAACCAAAAUGAAAAUCACGUAAUAAGAAACAGAUCGCACUCCUUGUUGGAUGGCUACUACUUCACAUAAUAUAUCAAAGAAUAGGGUAAUUUCACAUAGGAAAAAAAUGUGGAAAUGCUGUAUACCAGCACCUGCAGAUAGAAUAAGAACUACAGUAAAAUGUUUCCUCCUUUUGGUUUCAAGUAAAAUACGUUUUUUAGCAAAUCUUGCUUCAGCUUAUAACACAAGAAAAGAAAAAGUCUACGAGGGCUAAUCUAUCAACAUAAUCUAAGAAGAAGGCUACUUACACCAGACAGAUGGAGACAGAGAGGAGGUGAUGCUCUUGAUCAGCGAACGGGAGUCGGUGGAUAUGUUGACGAAGGCGCCGGAUUGGACCUACACCGGGGCCGGAUUUCGGUGCGAGCAACACUGCUUGUACCAAUGCCCAAGGGGGACGGCACUGCAGGAGGCGAGGGGGAAGAGCGAGGUGGUGGAUGUAUGGGUCUACGAGGGCACAGAUCUACGGGGAGAGAUAAGGGCAUUCAGAGGCCAUGGCAACGGAUUUUUCGGGAAACAGGGAAGGAUUUGUGGGCGGAGGGUUUGGACUUUGGAGGAAGAGGGCGUCGGUUUGUUUGCUGGUAGCCUGGUUAUUAGUCCCACCUCGCUGACGGAGUGUGGUGGCAAGGGCUGGAGGUGUGUAUAAGAAUGGGUCGCGGGCGAACGGGAGAAGGUCAUCUUUGCGCUUGGGGCAAUGACGCAGCUAGUGAGGUAAUACCGAGGCGCGUCAAUUGCUGGUUGAAAACUAUUUCCAAACCCCCUCUUUGGCCCUCAUGGGCCAUUGAGAAUUUCUGAAAGGGCCCCUUCUCCUUUUUGGAGAGGGCAAGGCCCUACAAACUCAAUAUGAAAAUUUUCAAUUUUGCACUGAAAAACAGUAUUUUUGCUAGUUGCCAUGGUGGACCUGCCUUUCCAUGGCCCUCAAAUAUGGCGUUUUGCAUGAACGAGGCUCGGCGGAGGCCUGCGGGUGUGGUCGGAUCCUCUCCCNNNNNNNNNNNNNNNNNNNNNNNNNNNNNNNNNNNNNNNNNNNNNNNNNNNNNNNNNNNNNNNNNNNNNNNNNNNNNNNNNNNNNNNNNNNNNNNNNNNNUGAAAAUAACAAAAUAAGUUAAUAGUUUGGAUAGUAAAAAUUAUUAAUUUUCAAAAUAGAAAAUAGUUUUGAAUUAUUUAUUCAAUUUCAAACACUUUUCAUUAUCAUAGUUUUGUCAAAUUCUUAAAUAUGCAAAACGAAUUUUUAAUAAACAUAGUUUUUAAUUGAAAAUAACAAAAUAAGUUAAUAGUUUGGAUAGCCAAAAUAAUUAAUUUUCAAAAUAGAAAAAAAUUGAAACUAUAUGAGAAAUCAUGGACAAAAUUCGACCUGAAUUCACUUUGAAUUCAGAUUGAAUUUUAUCCACAAUUUCGAAUAUAGUUUCAAUUUUCAGUAAGUUUAGGCCCGUAAGCCUGCUUUAGAGAGGAGCUCGAUGGACAAGCUGCGACGGGGCUUAUAAACAAGUGUUAGUCCCACUCGCUGGGCGAGGUGGGACUAAACUUAUCAUGCAGCUGAGGAGGGGCUUUAGUCCCGGCCCGAGCCACGCACCGGGACUAUAGAUCCACCUAUAUAAGCGGGACUUCGAAAAUUUCCAACCCAAUUCGUGCAUUUCUCUUCUUCUUCCUCUCGUUCUCCUGCCCAGCGCGGCACAGCGACAAACUAACCGACGCCGUCAGGCUGCCCGCCGUCCUGCUCGCCGUCGGUCGUCCUCCUCGCCGCCGUGCCGUCCUCCUUGCCGUCGCGCCGUCCUCCUCGCCGCCGCGCCGUCCUCCUCGCCGCGCGCCGUCCUCCUAGCCGUCGCGCCAUCCUCCGCGCCAUCCUCCUCGCCAACACUCCGGCCAGUAAGUCCCCCGCCCCCUCCUCCCCAACACUCCGGCCAGUAUAGAAGAAAAGAAGAAAAAGGAGAAGAGAAGAAGAAAAAGGAGAAGAAAGGAAGAAAAAGGAGAAGAAAAGAAGAAAAAGGAGAAGAAAAGAAGAAAAAGAAAAGAUUUUUUUGUCAUUUAAUUCCUAUUGUUAUUAGGUUUGUGCUAGAUUAUUAGGGUUAGUAAUAUUUAGAAUUAGGUUAGGGUUACAAGAAGAAGAAAUAUGAACAAAAAUAAGAAAAUAAUAUUAGGAAAAAUGACAAUAAGAAGAGGAGGAGAAGAAAAGAAGAAAAAGUGUAUUGUAUAGUGUAUAUGCUUAAGUGUAUAGUGUAUAUACUGUAUAGUGUAUAAGGAGAGAAGGAAUUUUGCUAUAGUGUAAAAGAAGAAAAGAAGAGGAGGAGAAGAGAAGAAAAGAAGAGGAGGAGAAGAGAAGAAAGAAGAGGAGGAGAAGAAAAAUGAAAAUAAGUGUUAAUAGUUUAAUUUUGCUAUUGUAUAUGCUUAAGUGUUAAUAGUNNNNNNNNNNNNNNNNNNNNNNNNNNNNNNNNNNNNNNNNNNNNNNNNNNNNNNNNNNNNNNNNNNNNNNNNNNNNNNNNNNNNNNNNNNNNNNNNNNNNCAAGAGUAACAAGAUCACGGGGAAUUCUCAAAACUUGCUCAAAUCUCAAAUAGCUUGGGUUGAGAGGAGGAGAGGGAGACGAUCUAUAUUUUGAUUGGAACAACUCUCAAAGGGGCUCACAAAUGCUCUUGGGAUCUAACAUUUGGUGUGAGCAAAUGCGUGUGAGGUAGAAAUGUGUUCUUAUGAGGAUAUGGCUGUGUUGGGCACCCUCUCACGAAGUGGGAGGGGGGGGNNNNNNNNNNNNNNNNNNNNNNNNNNNNNNNNNNNNNNNNNNNNNNNNNNNNNNNNNNNNNNNNNNNNNNNNNNNNNNNNNNNNNNNNNNNNNNNNNNNNNNNNNNNNNNNNNNNNNNNNNNNNNNNNNNNNNNNNNNNNNNNNNNNNNNNNNNNNNNNNNNNNNNNNNNGGGGGGGGGGGGGGGGUAUUUAUAGUGGAGAGGGGAAAGUGAUCGUUGGGGUCACUUAAGUUCGACAUUGGUCGGACGUCCGGCAGUUCUCGGAUGCCCGGAUGCCCACAAGGGGUCGGACAUCCGACAAGGGUCGGUCGUCCGAGGGAUGUAUUUAUAUCAGGAACCACUGUAUAGAUAUCAGGAAUCACUGUAUAGACGAACAGGGACCGGACGACCGAAGAGAAGGUCGGAUGUCCGAGAGUUCAGCUCUGUUCAAGGGUACCGGAUUCCGAAAGUGGUCGGGCGUCCNNNNNNNNNNNNNNNNNNNNNNNNNNNNNNNNNNNNNNNNNNNNNNNNNNNNNNNNNNNNNNNNNNNNNNNNNNNNNNNNNNNNNNNNNNNNNNNNNNNNNNNNNNNNNNNNNNNNNNNNNNNNNNNNNNNNNNNNNNNNNNNNNNNNNNNNNNNNNNNNNNNNNNNNNNNNNNNNNNNNNNNNNNNNNNNNNNNNNNNNNNNNNNNNNNNNNNNNNNNNNNNNNNNNNNNNNNNNNNNNNNNNNNNNNNNCGGGCGUCCGACCCUCAGACGUCCGGAGGGAGCCGAAUGUCCGAGACUUUGGCUCUGUUAUAAGGUUUCGGAUUUCCGAAGUCGUCGGGCGUCUGACCCUCGGACGUCCGGAGGAAGCCGGAUUUCCGAGGCAUUGGUUCUGUUUUUGAGAUCAAAGCAGAGCAGUGGAGAUGUGGUAUGAGUACAAAAGUAUAGAUGUAGUUUGAGAAAGUUCAUCACAAAACCUGUGAUCCCCUCUUAAUAGUGCGGGAUCCCUAAAGAAUCAANNNNNNNNNNNNNNNNNNNNNNNNNNNNNNNNNNNNNNNNNNNNNNNNNNNNNNNNNNNNNNNNNNNNNNNNNNNNNNNNNNNNNNNNNNNNNNNNNNNNNNNNNNNNNNNNNNNNNNNNNNNNNNNNNNNNNNNNNNNNNNNNNNNNNNNNNNNNNNNNNNNNNNNNNNNNNNNNNNNNNNNNNNNNNNNNNNNNNNNNNNNNNNNNNNNNNNNNNNNNNNNNNNNNNNNNNNNNNNNNNNNNNNNNNNNNNNNNNNNNNNNNNNNNNNNNNNNNNNNUCACUUGAGCUUUAUGUUGUUGUUCCUUCUUGGCUCAAGUUAAAAGCAAGACAUGAUGAGGUCUUCAAGUAGCUCUCCCAUAGACAAUGUGAAAAGCCUAGCUUAUGUAUUCAUCUUCAUUUGUCCACCAUGUGAACAUCCACAAGAAUCAAGCAUGUAGUGCUCAGGAAUGCUUAUCUUGAUCUUGUCCUUGUUAGCACAUGAGCUUUUCCUUAUCAACACAUGACGAUCAUUAACAAUAGUUUCAAUGAUAUAUUCGUGCUGAUCCACUUGAANNNNNNNNNNNNNNNNNNNNNNNNNNNNNNNNNNNNNNNNNNNNNNNNNNNNNNNNNNNNNNNNNNNNNNNNNNNNNNNNNNNNNNNNNNNNNNNNNNNNCUCAGGUUAUUUGAAAUCAAAAGCGAAAGAUACGGUGGCGCCUUCCUCUCUGACGAAACUGACGGAGAGGGAGAACAUCAGGUGGUAGUCUGACGAAACUGAAGAAAACUCCCAUCAUCUGCAACUGUUGUUAGCUGACAAUCUCCCCCUUAAUCAGUUGCUGAUGUUGAUCAUCCCCAGUUUCUCCGUAGCUCUUGAAACUUCAUGCGAGGCAGUGCUUUGGUCAUGAUAUCGGCCAGCUGCUCGCUCGUGUGAAUGUGAUCGACGGCAAUCCUCCCGUCCUGCACGCAUUCCCUGAUGAAAUGGAAACGCGUCUCGAUGUGCUUCGUCCUAUCAUGGAAGACAGGGUUCUUGCAGAGCUGGAUUGCCGACUUGUUGUCGAUGAGAAGUGGGGUUGCACCUCCUGGAUCACCGAGCAGAUCUCCAAGCAUUCUCCGCAACCAGACCCCUGUGCACGCUGCUGCGGUCGCCGCCAUGUACUCGGCUUCGCAGGAUGAAAGGGCGACCAUCUUCUGCUUCUGGGACUGCUAGCUGAUCGCGCUCCCCCCGAAAGUGAACACCAUACCUGAUGUGCUUUUCCUAUCAUCGACAUCCCCGGCGAAAUCAGCAUCACUGUAUUCAAUCAGCAGUGGUUCCACUUCACCUUUCUUGUAUAUGCACCCAAAGAUCAGUGUGCCUGAUAUGUAUCGCAGCACCUGCUUCACCGCCGCGCAGUGCUCUGUCGUGGGAGCCUCCAUGAACCUGCUGAUAAAACCUACUGCAUAGGAAAUAUCUGGUCGAGUGUGUACCAGGUAGUGGAGGCUUCCCACAAUGCUGCGGUAGAGAUUCUUGUCCACCGGAGGGUUCGUGUUCUCCUUGCUCAGCUUCAGGCGAGGCUCCAUGGGGAUGUGUACUGGGUGACAUCCUCCCAUCCCAGCUUUCUCCACGAUCUUGGCUGUGUAGCUCGCUUGCUUCAGCUUGAUCGAGUCCGUUCCCUGAUGCACCUCGAUGCCGAGAUAAUAGCUCAGCAAUCCAAGGUCACUCAUGGAGAACACGGACAUCAUCUGUUGUUUGAACUGAGCGAUGGCCUGCAGACUUGAUCCAGUGACGAUAAGGUCAUCGACGUAGACCCCCAGCAGCAGUCGCUCCCCGCCGUCACAACGCAUGUAGACGGCAUGCUCGGAAGGGCUUCUCUGGAAGCCGAGUGCCACCAGUGUCUCGUCUAACUUGAUGUUCCAGGCCCGCGGCGCCUGACAGAGCCCAUACAGCGCCUUGGAGAGACGGAACACCUUUCCUUCUUCGCCGGCGCGUUCAAAGCCUGGUGGUUGUGUGACGUACACCUCCUCCUGCAACUCUCCGUUGAGGAAAGCUGAUUUGACGUCGAGGUGGUGCACCUCCCACCCAGCCUGCGCGGCUAUGGCCAGCAGUAGCCGCACGGACUCGAGCCGUGCCACCGGAGCGAACACUUCCUCAUAGUCCACCCCUGCGCGCUGUGCAUAUCCCUUUGCGACGAGCCUCGCUUUGUGUUUCACGAUCUCGCCCAUGGAGUUCUUCUUGAGCUUGAACACCCACUUCACCCCGAUCGCCUUCUUGCCAGGCGGGAGCGUGGUGAGCGUCCACGUGUUGUUGUCGUCGAUAGACUGCAGUUCAUCUACCAUGGCUGACCUCCAGGCAGCGUGUGGCUCAGCUUCUUCAAAGGAGUUGGGCUCCUCCCCCGCCACCAGUAGCAGCUCCCCAGGAUCCAGGGUCACUGGCUCCGAUUCGUUGUGAACGAUAUCGACCAUGCGGUACCGGCGUGGGGCUUCCUGGGAGCCCAGUGCCAUGUAUGGCGUGGUGCCUAACGGAGGGGAUACGUACCCCUCCUUCACCCCUUUUCCUUUGUACACCCCUGGCUGCGGAGUGUGUGCGUGCUCCGGCGUCUCUCCACACUCUUCAGGUGCAGGCGGUGUGUCAGCGAGGGGAGUGCCUGGGCACAGACCCGGUUCUCCUCCAGUCCUGGGUUGCUCUGGCUGCCACGUAAGAGUUGGGGCGGGAGUGAACUCGAUCGUGAACGUCCCCUCCCCCGCAGUCUCCAUCUUCCAAUCCCAGUGCGCCGUCUCGUCGAAGACAGCGUCCCUGGUGAGGUCCACUCGCUUGCUCACUGGAUCGAAGACGCGCCACGCCUUGGUCUGUCCAUGCUCAUACCCGAUGAACACGGUGCGCUGGUUGCGGUUAUCUAGUUUCUUGAGGCCAGGCCGCGUGACCUUGGCGUGGGCUAUGCACCCGAAGGUGCGGAAGUAGCUCACCGCCGGCUUGUGACCAUGCCAGGCUUCAUAGGGAGUCAUGCCGCGCACGGCCUUUGUUGGUCCGCAGUUCAGUAGAUGAACCACGGUGGUUAUUGCCUCUCCCCAGAACUCGUUCGGCAUCCCUUUUGCCUUCAGAAGACACCGAGCUGUCCCGACCACAGUUUGGUUCCGGCGCUCUACCACACCAUUCUGCUGCGGCGAGUACGGGGCAGUGAGUUGCCGGUGUACGCCGCGAUCAGCCCAAUACUCUCCAAACUCGAUUGAGGUGAACUCCCCGCCCCUGUCGGUGCGCAGUGCGCACAGCUUGCUGGAGGUCUCCAGCUCUACUCCGGCCUGCCAGCGCUUGAUCGCAGUCGGUGCUUCAUCCUUUCUGCUCAGAAGCACAAUCCACAUGUAGCGAGUCUUGUCAUCUACAAGCAGCAGGAAAUACCUUUUCCCUCCAUGUGUGGGCGGUGAGAUUGGUCCGCAGAGAUCACCGUGGACAAGGUCUAGGCGAUCACCGGCCCGAUAGGCCGCUUCUUGUGGGAAGGAGGCGGGCCGCUGCUUGCCGACCAUGCAGCUGUCACACACCUGGUCGACGUGCUCGAUCAGUGGCAUCCCGCGAACCAGGUCGUCCUGGGACAGCUUCCGAAGCACGUCAAAGUUCAGAUGCCCGUAGCGGGCAUGCCACCGCCAUGCAUCCUCGCCAGCAGACGCUGACAGGCACACAUGACGUGUGAUGUCCAGCUCGACGGUGUAGAGACGAUUCCUCGUCCGGCCCACCUUGACGAUGACGUUCUCCUGGCGAUCUCGCACCACCACCAUGCCGCUCCGGACCAAUGCGGUGCAUCCCGCCUCGUCGAGCUGUCCGACAGAGAUAAUCGAGGUGCGCAGCCGAGGUAUAUAGUAUACCUUCGAGAGCACGCGGUGACGCCCUCCGUGGGGGACAAAGACCAUCGUUCCGCGCCCCUCGAUCUCGACCACCGACCCAUCACCGAAACGCACCGUGCCGGCGACGUGGCGAUCUAGCUCAGAGAAGACGGUAGGGUCUCCUGUCAUGUGAUUCGAAGCACCGGUGUCCAGGUGCCACGUGGGUUCCUUGGCGUCCCCUGCCGCCCCGAGGUUCACCUCGGCGCUCUCCUCGUGGAGAUGCACGAGCUGAUCCCCAGACGUGUCGCGGUUGGGCUCAUUAGUGAGAGGCGUCACCUGUGCCAUCAGUAGCGUAGGGUCUUCGUCUUCUGCAGCCGCGAGAUGAGCCUCGCCCGUGCCCUCGUCCUUCAUCUUCUUGCGACACUCGCGAACCCAAUGGCCGCUAAUGCCCUAGUAGCGACAGUUGCCGGAGCGCUUGGGCCCGCCCUUUCCGCCGCCAGGACGAGCGGCGUUCUUGCCGCGGUCGCCUUGCCCCUUCCCUUGGAGUUUCUUCCCGGCGCUGGCCCCCCCCGCUAGGGGACCCGCCUUGAUCUCCUCGCUUGGCACGCGCGUUCCACUCCUCCAUGGUGAGGAGGAGCUUGCUGCCGCCCUCUUCCUCAGUGUCCAGUUCGUAGCGCUCCUCGGCCGCCUUGAAACGGCCGAUAACCUCUUCGAUCAACGUGGUGUCCAAGUCGACAAGGUUGUCGAUGGAGAGCGCGAGCUGCGAGUACCGCUUGGGCACGAUCCGCAGCCACUUUUGGAUGACGCGCUUGUCGCUGAUCGCAUCUCCAAGUUCCCCAAGACGCGCGCACAGCCCUGUGAGGCGCAUGGCUAGCUCGUCGAUGGACUCACCGGACUUGUGAUGCAGCUGGUCAAACUCCCCCCGAAGGUUUUGGGCUUUGGCGUACCGAACACGCGCGGAUCCUGCGCGCAUGGCUCGGAUCGCCUCCCACAACUCCUGGGAAGUUUUGUGUUUCCGGAGCAUGGGCAGCAUCUCAGCAAGGACUGAUCGGAGGAUGAACUCCAUCGCCCCCUUGUCGUUGCGGUACCCGUACUCCUCGUCGAGGUCCUCGGCGCCCUCGAUCGCGCGCCACAUACCUCUCGCCUGCAUCCCAACCUCCAUGAAAAGGCUCCACUCGGCGUAGUUCCUGCGUGUCAACGGUGGCACGUUGGCGUGACCCGACACGACCGGAGCAAAUUGCCUCGCCACCGCCAGCUCGCGCCCUUGGCCGACCGCGUAUCAUGGCGAGCUCUUGCUUGCGUCGUCGUCGGCGCCUGCCGCCUUCUUCUUGCCAUCGUCACCCGCCAUCACAGGUCGCCGGAUCCUUUCUACGCGGCUCUGAUGCCACUUGUUAGACCCGAACUGCUCGNNNNNNNNNNNNNNNNNNNNNNNNNNNNNNNNNNNNNNNNNNNNNNNNNNNNNNNNNNNNNNNNNNNNNNNNNNNNNNNNNNNNNNNNNNNNNNNNNNNNCUGGCUAGCCAACUAGAGGCAUGCUAGGGACGGUGUUUUGUCUAUGUAUCCACACAUGUAAAUGAGUCUUUAUUCAAUACAAUUAUAGCAUGGAUAAUAAACUAUUAUCUUGAUACAGGAAUUAUAAUAAUAACUAUAUUUAUUAUUGCCUCUAGGGCAUAAUUCCAACAGUCUACCACUUGCACUAGAGUCAAUAAUCUAGCCCUCACAUCACCAUGUGAAUUACAUUGUAAUAAAUCUAACACCCAUACAGUUCUGGUGUCGAUCAUGUUUUGGCCGUGGAAGAGGUUUAGUCAGCGGGUCUGCUACAUUCAGAUCCGUGUGCACUUUGCAUAUAUUUACGUCCUCUUCCUCGACGUAGUCGCGGAUGAGGUUGAAGCGUCGUUUGAUGUGUCUGGUCUUCUUGUGAAACCGUGGUUCCUUUGCUAAGGCAAUGGCACCAGUGUUGUCACAGAACAAGGUUAUUGGAUUCAGUGCGCUUGGCACCACUCCAAGAUCCGUCAUGAACUGCUUCAUCCAGACACCCUCCUUAGCCGCCUCCGAGGCAGCCAUGUACUCCGCUUCACAUGUAGAAUCUGCUACGACGCUUUGCUUGGAACUGCACCAGCUUACUGCACCCCCAUUAAGAAUAAAUACGUAUCCGGUUUGCGACUUAGAGUCGUCCGGAUCUGUGUCAAAGCUUGCAUCGACGUAACCUUUUACGGCGAGCUCUUCGUCACCUCCAUACACGAGAAACAUCUCCUUAGUCCUUUUCAGGUACUUCAGGAUAUUCUUGACCGAUGUCCAGUGAUCCACUCCUGGAUUACUCUGGAACCUACCUGCCAUACUUAUGGCCAGGCUAACAUCCGGUCUAGUGCACAGCAUUGCAUACAUGAUAGAACCUAUGGCUGAAGCAUAGGGGACGGAGCGCAUAUCCUCUCUAUCUUCAUCAGUUGCUGGGCACUGGAUCUUACUCAAUCUCGUACCUUGUAAAACUGGCAAGAACCCUUUCUUGGACUGUUCCAUUUUGAACCUCUUCAAAACUUUAUCAAGGUAUGUGCUUUGUGAAAGUCCUAUCAGGCGUUUUGAUCUAUCCCUAUAGAUCUUAAUGCCUAGAAUGUAAGCAGCUUCUCCUAGGUCCUUCAUAGAGAAACUUUUAUUCAAGUAACCUUUUAUGCUCUCCAAAAGCUCUACGUUGUUUCCAAUCAGUAAUAUGUCAUCCACAUAUAAUAUUAGAAACGCCACAGAGCUCCCACUCACUUUCUUGUAAAUACAAGAUUCUCCAACCACUUGUAUAAACCCAAAUGCUUUGAUCACCUCAUCAAAGCGUUUGUUCCAACUCCGAGAUGCUUGCACCAGUCCAUAAAUGGAUCGCUGGAGCUUGCACACCUUGUUAGCACUCUUAGGAUCGACAAAACCUUCGGGUUCCAUCAUAUACAACUCUUCCUUAAGGAAACCGUUAAGGAACGCCGUUUUGACAUCCAUCUGCCAGAUUUCAUAAUCGAAAAAUGCAGCUAUUGCUAACAUGAUUCUGACGGACUUAAGCAUCGCUACGGGUGAGAAAGUCUCAUCGUAGUCAACUCCUGGAACUUGUGAAAAAACCCUUUGCCACAAGUCGAGCUUUAUAAACGGUCACAUUACCGUCAGCGUCCGUCUUCUUCUUAAAGAUCCAUUUGUUCUGAAUAGCCUUGCGGCCCUCAGGUAGUAUCUCCAAAGUCCAUACUUUGUUCUCAUACAUGGAUCCUAUCUCGGACUUCAUGGCUUCUAGCCAUUUGUUGGAAUCUGGGCCCACCAUUGCUUCUUCAUAAUUUGCAGGUUCAUUGUUGUCUAACAACAUGAUUGAUAAGACGGGAUUACCGUACCACUCUGGAGCAGCGCGUGAUCUCGUCGACCUGCGUGGUUCAACAGAAACUUGAACUGGAGUUUCAUGAUCAUCAUCAUUAACUUCCUCCUCAACCGGCGUCGCAACAACACAGGUUUCCCCUUGCCCUGCGCCACCAUCCAGAGGGAUGAGAGGUUCGACAACCUCGUCAAGUUCUAUCUUCCUCCCACUCAAUUCUCUCGAGAGAAACUCCUUCUCGAGAAAAGCUCCGUUCUUAGCAACAAACACUUUGCCCUCGGAUUUGAGAUAGAAGGUGUACCCAACUGUCUCUUUUGGGUAACCUAUGAAGACGCACUUUUCAGCUUUGGGUUCCAGCUUUUCAGGCUGAAGCUUUUUGACAUAAGCAUCACAUCCCCAAACUUUAAGAAACGACAACUUUGGCCUUUUGCCAUACCAUAGUUCGUAUGGUGUCGUCUCAACAGAUUUUGAUGGUGCCCUAUUUAAAGUGAAUGCAGCUGUUUCUAAUGCAUAACCCCAAAAUGAUAACGGCAAAUCAGUAAGAGACAUCAUAGAUCGCACCAUCUCUAACAAAGUACGAUUACGACGUUCGGACACACCAUUACGCUGUGGUGUUCCAGGCGGUGUCAACUGUGAAACAAUUCCACAUUUUCUUAAGUGAUCACCAAACUCGAAACUCAGAUAUUCACCCCCACGAUCAGACCGUAGGAACUUGAUCUUCUUGUUACGAUGAUUUUCCACUUCACUCUGAAAUUGCUUGAACUUUUCAAAUGUUUCAGACUUGUGCUUCAUCAAGUAGAUAUAACCAUACCUACUUAAAUCGUCAGUGAAGGUGAGAAAAUAACGAUAUCCGCCGCGUGCCUCCACGCUCAUUGGACCACACACAUCGGUAUGUAUGAUUUCCAAUAAGUCACUUGCACGCUCCAUUGUUCCGGAGAACGGAGUCUUAGCCAUCUUGCCCAUGAGGCAUGGUUCGCACGUGUCAAGUGAAUCAAAGUCAAGUGACUCCAAAAGUCCAUCAGCAUGGAGUUUCUUCAUGCGCUUUACACCAAUAUGACCCAAGCGGCAGUGCCACAAAAAUAUGGCGCUAUCAUUGUUUACUCUAACUCUUUUGGUCUCAAUGUUAUGUAUAUGUGUAUCGCUAUCAAGAUUCAAUAUGAACAAUCCUCUCACAUUCGGUGCAUGACCAUAAAAGAUGUUACUCAUAGAAAUAGAACAACCAUUAUUCUCUGACUUAAAAGAGUAACCGUCUCGCAAUAGGCAAGAUCCAGAUAUAAUGUUCAUGCUCAACGCAGGCACUAAAUAACAAUGAUUUAAGUUCAUCACUAAUCCCGACGGUAGCUGAAGUGACACUGUGCCGACGGCGAUUACAUCAACCUUGGAACCAUUUCCUACGCGCAUCGUCACUUCAUCUUUCGCCAGCCUUCGUCUAUUCCGCAGUUCCUGUUUCGAGUUGCAAAUAUGAGCAACAGAACCGGUAUCGAAUACCCAGGCACUACUGCGAGAGCCGGUUAAGUACACAUCAAUAACAUGUAUAUCUAAUAUACCUGAUUUUUCUUUGCCCGCCUUCUUAUCUGCCAGAUACUUGGGGCAAUUGCGCUUCCAGUGACCCAUACCCUUGACAAUAGUAGCACUCAGUUUCAGGCUUAGGUCCAGCCUUGGGUUUCUUCGGCGGAUUGGCAACAGGCUUGCCGCUCUUCUUCGAAUUGCCCUUCUUGCCUUUGCCGUUUCUCUUGAAACUAGUGGUCUUAUUCACCAUCAACACUUGAUGCUCUUUACGGAGUUCAGACUCUGCGACUUUCAACGUCGCAAACAACUCGCCGGGAGACUUGUUCAUCCCUUGCAUGUUGUAGUUCAACACAAAGCCUUUGUAGCUUGGCGGCAGUGAUUGAAGGAUUCUGUCAGUGAUAGCUUCUUGCGGGAGUUCAAUCCCCAGCUCGGCUAGACGGUUUGAGUACCCAGACAUUUUGAGCACAUGUUCACUGACAGACGAGUUUUCCUCCAUCUUGCAAGCAUAGAAUUUAUCGGAGGUCUCAUACCUCUCGAUCCGGGCGUUCUUCUGAAAGAUAAACUCCAACUCCUGGAACAUCUCAAAUGCUCCAUGACGCUCAAAGCGACGUUGAAGUCCCGGUUCUAAGCCAUACAAGACUGCACAUUGAACUAUUGAGUAGUCCUCCUUACGUGCUAACCAAGCGUUCUUAACAUCCUGAUCAGCCGUAGCGGGUGGUUCAUCUCCUAGCGCAGCACUAAGGACAUAAUCCUUCUUCCCAGCUUGUAAGAUUAGCUUAAGAUUACGAGCCUAGUCUACAAAGUUUCUUCCAUCAUCUUUCAACUUAGCUUUCUCUAGGAACAUAUUAAAAUUCAGGAUGACUGUCGCAUGAGCCAUGAUCUACAACACAAAUAUAUUCAAAGUGGACUUAGACUAUGUUCAAGAUAAUUAGAGUUUAACUUAAUCAAAUUAUAUGCUAAACUCCCACUCAAAAAGUACAUCUCUCUAGUCAUUUGAGUGGUUCAUGAUCCACUUACACUAUCCCAAGUCCGAACAUCACGUGAGUCGAGAGUAGUUUCAGUGGUAAGCAUCCCUAUGCUAAUCAUAUCAUCUAUAUGAUUCAUGAUCGACCUUUCGGUCUCAUGUGUUCCGAGGCCAUGUCUGCACAUGCUAGGCUCGUCAAGCUUAACCCGAGUGUUCCGCGUGCGCAACUGUUUUGCACCCGUUGUAUGUGAACGUUGAGUCUAUCACACCCGAUCAUCACGUGGUGUCUCGAAACGACGAACUGUAGCAACGGUGCACAGUCGGGGAGAACACAAUUUCGUCUUGAAAUUUUAGUGAGAGAUCACCUCAUAAUGCUAUCGUCGUUCUAAGCAAAACAAGGUGCAUAAAAGGAUUAACAUCACAUGCAAUUCAUAAGUGACAUGAUAUGGCCAUCAUCACGUGCUUCUUGAUCUCCAUCACCAAAGCACCGGCACGAUCUUCUUGUCACCGGCGCCACACCAUGAUCUACCAUCAACGUGUUGCCAUCGGGGUUGUCGUGCUACUCAUGCUAUUACUACUAAAGCUACAUCCUAGCAAAAUAGUAAACGCAUCUGCAAGCACAAACGUUAGUAUAAAGACAACCCUAUGGCUCCUGCCGGUUGCCGUACCAUCGACGUGCAAGUCGAUAUUUCUAUUACAACAUGAUCAUCUCAUACAUCCAAUAUAUCACAUCACAUCGUUGGCCAUAUCACAUCACAAUCAUACCCUGCAAAAACAAGUUAGACGUCCUCUAAUUUUGUUGUUGCAUGUUUUACGUGGUGACCAUGGGUAUCUAGUAGGAUCGCAUCUUACUUACGCAAACACCACAACGGAGAUAUAUGAGUUGCUAUUUAACCUCAUCCAAGGACCUCCUCGGUCAAAUCCGAUUCAACUAAAGUUGGAGAAACCGACACUUGCCAGUCAUCUUUGAGCAAAGGGGGUUACUCGUAACGAUGAAACCAGUCUCUCGUAAGCGUACGAGUAAUGUCGGUCCAAGCCGCUUCAAUCCAACAAUACCGCGGAAUCAAGAAAAGACUAAGGAGGGCAGCAAAACGCACAUCACCGCCCACAAAAACUUUUGUGUUCUACUCGAGAAGACAUCUACGCAUGAACCUAGCUCUGAUACCACUGUUGGGGAACGUCGCAUGGGAAACAAAAAUUUUCCUACGCGCACGAAGCCUAUCAUGGUGAUGUCCAUCUACGAGAGGGGAUGAGUGAUCUACAUACCCUUGUAGACCGUACAGCAGAAGCGUUAGAGAACGCGGUUGUUGUAGUGGAACGUCCUCACGUCCCUCGAUCCGUCCCGCGAACAAUCCCGCGAUCAGUCCCACGAUCUAGUACCGAACGGACGGCACCUCCGCGUUCAGCACACGUACAGCUCGACGAUGAUCUCGGCCUUCUUGAUCCAGCAAGAGAGACGGAGAGGUAGAAGAGUUCUCCGGCAGCGUGACGGCGCUCCGGAGGUUGGUGAUGACCUUGUCUCAGCAGGGCUCCGCCCGAGCUCCGCAGAAACGCGAUCUAGAGGAAAAACCGUGGAGGUAUGUGGUCGGGCUGCCGUGGAAAAGUCGUCUCAAAUCAGCCCUAAAACCUCCGUAUAUAUAGGUGGGAGGGAGGGGGCCUUGCCUUGGGGCUCAACGAGCCCCAAGGGGGUCGGCCCAGUCCAAGGGGGAGGACUCUCCCCCCCAAACCGAGUUGGACUAGGUUUGGUGGGAGGGAGUCCCCCUUCCUUCCCACCUCCUCCUUUUUUUUCUUUCUCUCUUGAUUUUCUUCUCCUUGGCGCAUAGGGCACUUGUGGGCUGUCCCACCAGCCCACUAAGGGCUGGUGUGUCUCCCCAAAGGCCUAUGGGCUUCCCCGGGGUGGGUUGCCCCCCCGGUGAACUCCCCGAACCCAUUCGUCAUUCCCGGUACAUUCCCGGUAACUCCGAAAACCUUCCGGUAAUCAAAUGAGGUCAUCCUAUAUAUCAAUCUUCGUUUCCGGACCAUUCCGGAAACCCUCGUGACGUCCGUGAUCUCAUCCGGGACUCCGAACAACAUUCGGUAACCAACCAUAUAACUCAAAUACGCAUAAAACAACGUCGAACCUUAAGUGUGCAGACCCUGCGGGUUCGAGAACUAUGUAGACAUGACCCGAGAGACUCCUCGGUCAAUAUCCAAUAGCGGGACCUGGAUGCCCAUAUUGGAUCCUACAUAUUCUACGAAGAUCUUAUCGUUUGAACCUCAGUGCCAAGGAUUCGUAUAAUCCCGUAUGUCAUUCCCUUUGUCCUUCGGUAUGUUACUUGCCCGAGAUUCGAUCGUCAGUAUCCGCAUACCUAUUUCAAUCUCGUUUACCGGCAAGUCUCUUUACUCGUUCCGUAAUACAAGAUCCCGCAACUUACACUAAGUUACAUUGCUUGCAAGGCUUGUGUGUGAUGUUGUAUUACCGAGUGGGCCCCGAGAUACCUCUCCGUCACACGGAGUGACAAAUCCCAGUCUUGAUCCAUACUAACUCAACUAACACCUUCGGAGAUACCUGUAGAGCAUCUUUAUAGUCACCCAGUUACGUUGCGACGUUUGAUACACACAAAGCAUUCCUCCGGUGUCAGUGAGUUAUAUGAUCUCAUGGUCAUAGGAAUAAAUACUUGACACGCAGAAAACAGUAGCAACAAAAUGACACGAUCAACAUGCUACGUCUAUUAGUUUGGGUCUAGUCCAUCACGUGAUUCUCCCAAUGACGUGAUCCAGUUAUCAAGCAACAACACCUUGUUCAUAAUCAGAAGACACUGACUAUCAUCGAUCAACUGGCUAGCCAACUAGAGGCAUGCUAGGGACGGUGUUUUGUCUAUGUAUCCACANNNNNNNNNNNNNNNNNNNNNNNNNNNNNNNNNNNNNNNNNNNNNNNNNNNNNNNNNNNNNNNNNNNNNNNNNNNNNNNNNNNNNNNNNNNNNNNNNNNNUUCAAAUAGUUGUAGUGAAACAAUUUUGAUUAGUUGAAGGGGAGCACAAUCUAAUUGGGAUAGUGUUCUAUAAUCUGAAAAAUCGUAUUAGAAUCAACUAGUGUUUAAUAUGUUCCAUUGGAAUCAUAGUUGGUUCCCUUCAAAUAGUUGUAGUGAAACAAUUUUGAUUAGUUGAAGGGGAGCACAAUCUAAUUGGAAUAGUUUUCCAUAAUCUGAAAAAUCGUAUUAGAAUCAACUAGUGUUUAAUAUGUUCAUUGGAAUCAUAGUUGGUUCCCUUCAAAUAGUUGUAGUGAAACAAUUUUGAUUACUUGAAGGGGAGCACAAUCUGAUUGGAAUAGUUUUCCAUAAUCUGAAAAAUCGUAUUAGAAUCAACUAGUGUUUAAUAUGUUCCAUUGAAAUCAUAGUUGGUUCGCUUCAAAUAGUUGGAGUGAUCUCUCUAGGUUCCAUUGCAUAUGUUCUAUUUGAAUCCUAAAGAUAAGUUUCUCUUUAGUUGUAGUGAAACAUGUUUCCUUAUUGCAGCAGUAUGUAACAUUUGUUCCAUUUUAAUUUGUUUCUGUUGCAGGAGUGACAAUCAUUGUCUAGGACUCAUGGAGUUCCUUCGCAGCGGCGUCACUUUUGCUUCCGUUGACAUAACGAACGACAGGCUGAAGAUGAGGCACAACUUCGGUAUUGAGAUACCAGCUGGUUGCCUCGUUGAUCUCCAAACGAUAUUCAGGCUUCGACAUGACAGGACUUUGAUGGCUCAUAUGGCAGUUGCCUUGAUCGACGAGUCAUAUGGUGAUAUGAAGACCAGUUUCCCAAAGUAUCAGCACAAACUUUGGGAGAAGGGCCCACUUGAUGAUAUCAACAUUCAGUAUGCAGCAAAAGAUGCAUACGUUUCAUACGAGUUGUACCGCAAGAUUCGAGUCGUCAACUAUGGCCAGCGUCACCUCGAGGAACGUGGACAUUCUGAUUUAGAUGAUUCAGACGAGUAGUGUUCUGAACGUCGAACACUUGUAUAUAUAUCUAUAGUAGCUAUUAUUAUGUACUGUUUGGGCUAGUAUCAUGUACUUCUUGAACCAAUUUAUAUAUGUCUAGUUUCUGUUUGUGGCAUUAUAGUUUCCAAAUUUGAAUGGUUUAGCCCUUUCUUACUUCAUUUGCUACUUUUGAAUGGUUUAGCCCUUUAUAACUUCAUGGUAUCAUGCAUUUCGAUCACAUAUAUAUACAAAAAGUCUUCAGUUUAAAUAAGUUCAAAUAAGUUCAGUGCUUUUCAAUUUCAGGGUCAACUAGCUCAAAAAAAAUAAGUAAAUGCACGAAAUAUACCAAAUGAAGUCAGAAAUUGUUGAAAUUUUGUGAUGCGCCUUUGAAUGGUGCAUUUUGAACACACAAAAAGUAUGGAGUUCAAAUAAGUUAAAAAAAAUGAAAUCCCUUUGUAAGAGAUGAGUUCUCGUUCGAAACCCUGCUACUUCGAGAGAGAUUGUCAGUUUUGUACACGAACUGCAUCCAGUUUUUGUCGUAGCCCUCUCAACUUUUUAACACAUGCUAUGUGGGUGAAAUGAUGAUAGCAUGCCAACUUUCAACAUUUUCAGAGUUCAUUUGUAGUGCUUUUCAAUUUCAGGGUCAACUAGCUCAAAAAAAAUAAGUAAAUGCACGAAAUAUACCAAAUGAAGUCAGAAAUUGUUGAAAUUUUGUGAUGCGCCUUUGAAUGGUGCAUUUUGAACACACAAAAAGUAUGGAGUUCAAAUAAGUUAAAAAAAAUGAAAUCCCUUUGUAAGAGAUGAGUUCUCGUUCGAAACCCUGCUACUUCGAGAGAGAUUGUCAGUUUUGUACACGAACUGCAUCCAGUUUUUGUCGUAGCCCUCUCAACUUUUUAACACAUGCUAUGUGGGUGAAAUGAUGAUAGCAUGCCAACUUUCAACAUUUUCAGAGUUCAUUUGUAGUGCUUUUCAAUUUCAGGGUCAACUAGCUCAAAAAAAUAAGUAAAUGCACGAAAUAUACCAAAUGAAGUUAGAAAUUGUUGAAAUUUUGUGAUGUUCCUCUGAAUGGUGCAUUUUGAGCACACAAAAAGUAUGGAGUUCAAAUAAGUUUUUAAAAAAAUGAAAUCCCUUUGUAAGAGAUGAGUUCUCGUUCGAAACCCUGCUACUUCGAGAGAGAUUGUCAGUUUUGUACACGAACUGCAUCCAGUUUUUGUCGUAGCCCUCUCAACUUUUUAACACAUGCUAUGUGGGUGAAAUGAUGAUAGCAUGCCAACUUUCAACAUUUUCAGAGUUCAUUUGUAGUGCUUUUCAAUUUCAGGGUCAACUAGCUCAAAAAAAUAAGUGAAUGCACGAAAUAUACCAAAUGAAGUCAGAACUUGUUGAAAUUUUGUGAUGUGCCUUUGAAUGGUGCAUUUUGAACACACAAAAAGUAUGGAGUUCAAAUAAGUUAAAAAAAAUGAAAUCCCUUUGUAAGAGAUGAGUUCUCGUUCGAAACCCUGCUACUUCGAGAGAGAUUGUCAGUUUUGUACACGAACUGCAUCCAGUUUUUGUCGUAGCCCUCUCAACUUUUUAACACAUGCUAUGUGGGUGAAAUGAUGAUAGCAUGCCAACUUUCAACAUUUUCAGAGUUCAUUUGUAGUGCUUUUCAAUUUCAGGGUCAACUAGCUCAAAAAAAUAAGUGAAUGCACGAAAUAUACCAAAUGAAGUCAGAACUUGUUGAAAUUUUGUGAUGUGCCUUUGAAUGGUGCAUUUUGAAAACACAAAAAGUAUGGAGUUCAAAUAAGUUAAAAAACAUGAAAUCCCUUUGUAAGAGAUGAGUUCUCGUUCGAAACCUUGCUACUUCGAGAGAGAUUGUCAGUUUUGUACACGAACUGCAUCCAGUUUUUGUCGUAGCCCUCUCAACUUUUUAACACAUGCUAUAUGGGUGAAAUGAUGAUAGCAUGCCAACUUUCAACAUUUUCAGAGUUCAUUUGUAGUGCUUUUCAAUUUCAGGGUCAACUAGCUCAAAAAAAAUAAGUAAAUGCACGAAAUAUACCAAAUGAAGUCAAAAUAACAAAAUAGAUAAUAGUUUGGAUAGUCAAAAUUAUUAAUUGUGAAAAUAAAAAAUAUUUUUGCAUUAUUUAUUCAAUUUGAAACACUUUUCAUUAUCAUAGUUUUGUCAAAUUCUCAAAUAUGCAAAAAGAAUUUUUAAUAAACAUAGUUUUUAAUUGAAAAUAACAAAAUAGAUAAUAGUUUGGAUAGUCAAAAUUAUUAAUUAUAAAAAUAAAAAAUAGUUUGCAUUAUUUAUUCAAUUUGAAACACUUUUCAUUAUCAUAGUUGAUGGGGUCAUAGUCCUAGGGUAGGGUCAUAGGCCUGUCCUACAGUUCCUACCCAAGGACUACCCCACGCAAGGGACAGGACCUUAUGUAUGCCCGACUGUAUUGAUGUGCCCCCAUCAUCCAGUCGGUAACGGGCUCAGGAUCAUCCAGUCGGAGACUAAGACUCGGAGGACACCGGACCUACCGACUGGAUACACUCGNNNNNNNNNNNNNNNNNNNNNNNNNNNNNNNNNNNNNNNNNNNNNNNNNNNNNNNNNNNNNNNNNNNNNNNNNNNNNNNNNNNNNNNNNNNNNNNNNNNNAGGGGGCCUUGCCUUGGGGCUCAACGAGCCCCAAGGGGGUCGGCCCAGUCCAAGGGGGAGGACUCUCCCCCCCAAACCGAGUUGGACUAGGUUUGGUGGGAGGGAGUCCCCCUUCCUUCCCACCUCCUCCUUUUUUUUCUUUCUCUCUUGAUUUUCUUCUCCUUGGCGCAUAGGGCACUUGUGGGCUGUCCCACCAGCCCACUAAGGGCUGGUGUGUCUCCCCAAAGGCCUAUGGGCUUCCUCGGGGUGGGUUGCCCCCCCCCGGUGAACUCCCGGAACCCAUUCGUCAUUCCCGGUACAUUCCCGGUAACUCCGAAAACCUUCCGGUAAUCAAAUGAGGUCAUCCUAUAUAUCAAUCUUCGUUUCCGGACCAUUCCGGAAACCCUCGUGACGUCCUUGAUCUCAUCCGGGACUCCGAACAACAUUCGGUAACCAACCAUAUAACUCAAAUACGCAUAAAACAACGUCGAACCUUAAGUGUGCAGACCCUGCGGGUUCGAGAACUAUGUAGACAUGACCCGAGAGACUCCUCGGUCAAUAUCCAAUAGCGGGACCUGGAUGCCCAUAUUGGAUCCUACAUAUUCUACGAAGAUCUUAUCGUUUGAACCUCAGUGCCAAGGAUUCGUAUAAUCCCGUAUGUCAUUCCCUUUGUCCUUCGGUAUGUUACUUGCCCGAGAUUCGAUCGUCAGUAUCCGCAUACCUAUUUCAAUCUCGUUUACCGGCAAGUCUCUUUACUCGUUCCGUAAUACAAGAUCCCGCAACUUACACUAAGUUACAUUGCUUGCAAGGCUUGUGUGUGAUGUUGUAUUACCGAGUGGGCCCCGAGAUACCUCUCCGUCACACGGAGUGACAAAUCCCAGUCUUGAUCCAUACUAACUCAACUAACACCUUCGGAGAUACCUGUAGAGCAUCUUUAUAGUCACCCAGUUACGUUGCGACGUUUGAUACACACAAAGCAUUCCUCCGGUGUUAGUGAAUUAUAUGAUCUCAUGGUCAUAGGAAUAAAUACUUGACACGCAGAAAACAGUAGCAACAAAAUGACACGAUCAACAUGCUAUGUCUAUUAGUUUGGGUCUAGUCCAUCACAUGAUUCUCCUAAUGAUGUGAUCCCGUUAUCAAGUGACAACACUUGCCUAUGGCCAGGAAACCUUGACCAUCUUUGAACAACGAGCUAGUCAACUAGAGGCUUACUAGGGACAGUGUUUUGUCUAUGUAUCCACACAAGUAUUGUGUUUCCAAUCAAUACAAUUACAACAUGGAUAAUAAACGAUUAUCAUGAACUAAGAAAUAUAAUAAUAACUAAUUUAUUAUUGCCUCUAGGGCAUAUUUCCAACAGUCUCCCACUUGCACUAGAGUCAAUAAUCUAGUUCACAUCACCAUGUGAUUCCAACGAAUCUAACACCCAUAUAGUUAUGGGGUCUGAUCACGUCUUGCUCGUGAGAGAGGUUUUAGUCAACGGUUCUGAAACUUUCAGAUCCGUGCGUUCUUUACAAAUCUUUAUGUCAUCUUAUAGAUGCUGCUACUACGUGCUAUUCGGAAAUGCUCCAAAUAUCUACUCUACUAUACGAAUCCGUUUCACUACUCAUAGUUAUCCGGAUUAGUGUCAAAGCUUGCAUUGACGUAACCCUUUACGACAAACUCUUUAACCACCUCCGUAAUCGAGAAAAAAUCCUUAGUCCAUUAGUUACUAAGGAUAAAUUUCGACCGCUGCUAGUGAUUCAAUCAUGGAUCACUCUCUGUACCUCUCAACAUACUUUGAGUCAAGGCACACUUCAGGUGCGGUACACAGCAUGGCAUACUUUAGAUUCUACGGCUAAGGCAUAGAAGACGACCUUCGUCUAUUCUCUUUAUUCUGCCAUGGUCGGGUUUUGAGUCUUACUAAAAUUCACACCUCACAACGCAACCAAGAACUCCUUCUUUGCUGAUCUAUUUUGAACUCCUUCAAAAACUUGUCAAGGCAUGCAUCUUGUUGAAACUUCCAUUAAGCGCUUUCGAUCUAUCUCCAUAGAUCUUUGAUGCUCAACGUUCAAGUAGCUCAAUCCAGGUAUUCCUUUGAAAACUCCUUUCAAACAACCUUGUAUGUUUUACAGAAAUUCUACAUUACUUCUGAUUCACAAUAUGUCAACCACAUAUACUUAUCAGAAAUUCUAUAGUGCUCCCACUCACUUCUUUGGAAAUACAAGUUUCUCAUGAACCUUGUACAAACCAAAAAUCUUUGAUCAUCUCAUCAAAGUGUAUAUUCCAACUCCGAGAUGCUUGCACCAGUCCAUUGAAGGAUCACUGGAGCUUGCAUACUUGCUAGUAUCUUUAGGAUCGACAAAACCUUCUGGUUGUAUCACAUACAAUGUUUGCUCAAGGAAACCAUCGAGGAAACAAUGUUUUGACAUCCUACGUGCAAUAUUUCAUAAAUAAUGCAUCAACAACUAACAUAAUUCUAACAUACCUUUAGCAUCGCUACGAGUGAGAAAGUCUCAUCAUAGUCAACUGUUUGAUCUUGUCGAAAACAUCUUUGCGACAAGUCGAGCUUUUCUUAAUAGUGACUUAUCACCAUCAUCGUCUGUCUUCUUUUAAAGAUCCAUCUUUACUCAAUAGUCCUAUGACCAUCAAGUAGUUCUUCCAAAGUCUACACUUUGGUUUCAUACAUGGAUCCUCUCUCGGAUUUCAUGGCUUCCAACCAUUUGUCGGAAUCCGGGCCCACCAUCGCUUUCUCCAUAACUCGUAGGUUCACUGUUGCUCAACAACAUGACCUCCAAGACAGGGUUACCGUACUACUUUGCAGCAGUACGCGACCUUGUCGACCUACGAGGUUUGUAGUAACUUGAUUCGAAGCUCAAUGAUCAUCAUCAUCAGCUUCCACUUCAAUUGGUGUAGGCGCCACAUGAACAACUUCCUGCGCCCUGCUACACACUGGUUGAAGUGAUGGUUCAAUAACCUCAUCAAGUUCUACUACCCUCCCACUCAAUUCUUUCGAGAGAAAACCUUUCCUCGAGAAAGGAUCCGUUUCUAGAAACAAACACUUUGCUUUCGGAUCUGAGAUAGGAGAUGUACCCAACUGUUUUGGAUAUCCUAUGAAGAUGCGUUUAUCCGCUUUGGGUUCGAGCUUAUCAGACUGAAACUUUUUCACAUAAGUGUCGAAACCCCAAACUUUCAAGAAACGACAGUUUAGAUUUCUCUAAACCUCAGUCUAUACAGUGUCAUCUCAACGGAAAUACGCGGUGCCCUAUUUAAAGUGAGUGCGGUUGUCUCUAAUGCAUAACCCAUAAACGAUAGUGGUAAUUCGAUAAGAGACAUCAUAGUAUGCAUCAUACCAAAUAGUGCGUGGCUAUGAUGUUCAGACACAUCAUCACACUAUGAUGUUCCAGGUGGCAUGAACUGCGAAAUAACUUCCACAUUGUCUUAACUGCGUACCAAAACUCGUAACUCAGAUAUUCAUUUCCAUGAUCAUAUCGUAGACAGUUUAUCCUCUUGUUACGACGAACUUCACUCUGAAACAGAAUUGAACUUUUCAAUAUUUCAGACUUGUGAUUCAUUAAGUAAAUACUCUAGUAUCUACUCAAAUCGUUAGUGAAGUAAGAACAUAAUGAUAUCCACUGCGUGCCUCAGCACCCAUUGGACUGCAUACAUCAAAAUGUAUCACUUCCAACAAGUUACUAUCUUAUUUCAUCUCAAUGAAAACAAGGCCUUGCUCAUGUGGUAUGAUUUGCAUGUCACUAAUGAUUCGAAAUCAGGUGAGUACAAAGAUCCAUCAGCAUGGAGCCUCUUCAUGCAAUUUAUACUAACAUGACUCAAGCGGCAGUGCCACAAGUAAGUGGUACUAUCAUUAUUAACUCGUAUCUUUUGGCACCAAUGUGUAACACUACAAUCGAGAUUCAAUAAACCAUUGAAGGUGAUUAUUCAAGCAAAUAGAGUAACCAUUAUUCUCUUUGAAUGAAUAAUCGUAUUGCAAUAAACAUGAUCCAAUCAUGUUCACGCUUAACGCAAACACCAAAUAACAAUUAUUUAGGUUCAACACCAAUCCCGAUGGUAGAGGGAGCGUGCGACGUUUGAUUAUAUCAACCUUGGAAACACUUCCAACACGUAUCGUCACCUCGACUUUAGCUAGUCUCCGUUUAUGCCGUAGCUUUCAUUUCGUGUUACUAAUCACUUAGCAACCGAACCGGUAUCCAAUACCCUCGUGCUACUAGGAGUACUAGUAAAGUACACAUCAACAUUAUGUAUAUCACAUAUAUACUUCUCUCGACUUUUGCCAGCCUUCUUAUCCACCAAGUAUCUAGAGUUUCUCCGCCUCAGUGACUGUUCCCCUUAUUACAGAAGCACUUAGUCUCGGGUUUGGGUUUAAUCUUGGGUCUCUUCAUUAGUGCAGCAACUGUUUUGCCGUUUCACGAAGUAUCCCUUCUAGCCCUUGCCUUUCUUGAAACUUAGUGGUUUUACUAACCAUCAACUAUUGAUGCUCCUUCUUGAUUUCUACUUUCGCAGUGUCAAACAUCGCGAAUCACUCAAAAGAUCAUAGUAUCUAUCCUUGAUAUGUCAUAGUUCAUCACGAAGCUCUCAUAGCUUGGUGGCAGUGACUUUGGAGAACCAUCACUAUCUCAUCUGGAAGAUUAACUCCCACUUGUUUCAAGCGAUUGUCGUACUCAGACAAUCUGAGCACACGCUCAACGAUUGAGCUUUUCUCCUUUACUUUGUGGACAAAGAAUCUUGUUUGGAGGUCUCGUACCUCUUAACAAGGGCACAAGCAUGAAAUCACAAUUUCAUCUCUUCGGAACAUCACUUAUGUUCCGUGACGUUUUACAACGUUUUCGGCGCCUUGCUUCUAAGCCAUCAAGUAUCUUGCACUGAACUAUCGUGUAGUCAUCAGUAACGUGUAUGUCGGAUGUUCAUAGCAUCCACAGACGACGCUCGAGGUGCAGCACACCGAGUGGUGCAUUAAGGACAUAAGCCUUCUGCGUAGCAACGAGGACAAUCCUCGGUUUUACAGACUCAGUCUGCAAAGGUUGCUACUAUCAAUUUUCAACUAAAUUUUCUCUAGGAACAUAUAAAAACAGUAGAGCUAUAGCGCAAGCUACAUCGUAAUUCGCAAAGACCAUUAGACUAUGUUCAUGACAAUUAGUUCAAUUAAUCAUAUUACUUAAGAACUCCCACUCAAAAAGUACAUCUCUCUAGUCAUUUGAGUGGUACAUGAUCCAAAUCUGCUAUCUCAAGUCCGAUCAUCACGUGAGUCGAGAAUAGUUUCAGUGGUAAGCAUCCCUAUGCUAAUCAUAUCAACUAUACGAUUCAUGCUCGACCUUUCGGUCUCAUGUGUUCCGAGGCCAUGUCUGCACAUGCUAGGCUCGUCAAGCUUAACCCGAGUGUUCCGCGUGUGCAACUGUUUUGCACCCGUUGUAUGUGAACGUUGAGUCUAUCACACCCGAUCAUCACGUGGUGUCUCGAAACGAAGAACUGUCGCAACGGUGCACAGUCGGGGAGAACACAAUUUCGUCUUGAAAUUUUAGUGAGAGAUCACCUCAUAAUGCUACCGUCGUUCUAAGCAAAAUAAGGUGCAUAAAAGGAUUAACAUCACAUGCAAUUCAUAAGUGACAUGAUAUGGCCAUCAUCACGUGCUUCUUGAUCUCCAUCACCAAAGCACCGGCACGAUCUUCUUGUCACCGGCGCCACACCAUGAUCAUCCAUCAACGUGUUGCCAUCGGGGUUGUCGUGCUACUUAUGCUAUUACUACUAAAGCUACAUCCUAGCAAAAUAGUAAACGCAUCUGCAAGCACAAACGUUAGUAUAAAGACAACCCUAUGGCUCCUGCCGGUUGCCGUACCAUCGACGUGCAAGUCGAUAUUUCUAUUACAACAUGAUCAUCUCAUACAUCCAAUAUAUCACAUCACAUCGUUGGCCAUAUCACAUCACAAUCAUACCCUGCAAAAACAAGUUAGACGUCCUCUAAUUUUGUUGUUGCAUGUUUUACGUGGUGACCAUGGGUAUCUAGUAGGAUCGCAUCUUACUUACGCAAACACCACAACGGAGAUAUAUGAGUUGCUAUUUAACCUCAUCCAAGGACCUCCUCGGUCAAAUCCGAUUCAACUAAAGUUGGAGAAACCGACACUUGCCAGUCAUCUUUGAGCAAAGGGGGUUACUCGUAACGAUGAAACCAGUCUCUCGUAAGCGUACGAGUAAUGUCGGUCCAAGCCGCUUCAAUCCAACAAUACCGCGGAAUCAAGAAAAGACUAAGGAGGGCAGCAAAACGCACAUCACCGCCCACAAAAACUUUUGUGUUCUACUCGAGAAGACAUCUACGCAUGAACCUAGCUCAUGAUGCCACUGUUGGGGAACGUCGCAUGGGAAACAAAAAUUUUCCUACGCGCACGAAGACCUAUCAUGGUGAUGUCCAUCUACGAGAGGGGAUGAGUGAUCUACAUACCCUUGUAGACCGUACAGCAGAAGCGUUAGAGAACGCGGUUGAUGUAGUGGAACGUCCUCACGUCCCUCGAUCCGCCCCGCGAACAAUCCCGCGAUCAGUCCCACGAUCUAGUACCGAACGGACGGCACCUCCGCGUUCAGCACACGUACAACUCGACGAUGAUCUCGGCCUUCUUGAUCCAGCAAGAGAGACGGAGAGGUAGAAGAGUUCUCCGGUAGUGUGACGACGCUCCGGAGGUUGGUGAUGACCUUGUCUCAGCAGGGCUCCGCCCGAGCUCCGCAGAAACGCGAUCUAGAGGAAAAACCGUGGAGGUAUGUGGUCGGGCUGCCGUGGAAAAGUCGUCUCAAAUCAGCCCUAAAACCUCCGUAUAUAUAGGUGGGAGGGAGGGGGCCUUGCCUUGGGGCUCAACGAGCCCCAAGGGGGUCGGCCCAGUCCAAGGGGGAGGACUCUCCCCCCCAAACCGAGUUGGACUAGGUUUGGUGGGAGGGAGUCCCCCUUCCUUCCCACCUCCUCCUUUUUUUUCUUUCUCUCUUGAUUUUCUUCUCCUUGGCGCAUAGGGCACUUGUGGGCUGUCCCACCAGCCCACUAAGGGCUGGUGUGUCUCCCCAAAGGCCUAUGGGCUUCCUCGGGGUGGGUUGCCCCCCCCCGGUGAACUCCCGGAACCCAUUCGUCAUUCCCGGUACAUUCCCGGUAACUCCGAAAACCUUCCGGUAAUCAAAUGAGGUCAUCCUAUAUAUCAAUCUUCGUUUCCGGACCAUUCCGGAAACCCUCGUGACGUCCUUGAUCUCAUCCGGGACUCCGAACAACAUUCGGUAACCAACCAUAUAACUCAAAUACGCAUAAAACAACGUCGAACCUUAAGUGUGCAGACCCUGCGGGUUCGAGAACUAUGUAGACAUGACCCGAGAGACUCCUCGGUCAAUAUCCAAUAGCGGGACCUGGAUGCCCAUAUUGGAUCCUACAUAUUCUACGAAGAUCUUAUCGUUUGAACCUCAGUGCCAAGGAUUCGUAUAAUCCCGUAUGUCAUUCCCUUUGUCCUUCGGUAUGUUACUUGCCCGAGAUUCGAUCGUCAGUAUCCGCAUACCUAUUUCAAUCUCGUUUACCGGCAAGUCUCUUUACUCGUUCCGUAAUACAAGAUCCCGCAACUUACACUAAGUUACAUUGCUUGCAAGGCUUGUGUGUGAUGUUGUAUUACCGAGUGGGCCCCGAGAUACCUCUCCGUCACACGGAGUGACAAAUCCCAGUCUUGAUCCAUACUAACUCAACUAACACCUUCGGAGAUACCUGUAGAGCAUCUUUAUAGUCACCCAGUUACGUUGCGACGUUUGAUACACACAAAGCAUUCCUCCGGUGUUAGUGAAUUAUAUGAUCUCAUGGUCAUAGGAAUAAAUACUUGACACGCAGAAAACAGUAGCAACAAAAUGACACGAUCAACAUGCUAUGUCUAUUAGUUUGGGUCUAGUCCAUCACAUGAUUCUCCUAAUGAUGUGAUCCCGUUAUCAAGUGACAACACUUGCCUAUGGCCAGGAAACCUUGACCAUCUUUGAACAACGAGCUAGUCAACUAGAGGCUUACUAGGGACAGUGUUUUGUCUAUGUAUCCACACAAGUAUUGUGUUUCCAAUCAAUACAAUUACAACAUGGAUAAUAAACGAUUAUCAUGAACUAAGAAAUAUAAUAAUAACUAAUUUAUUAUUGCCUCUAGGGCAUAUUUCCAACAGUCUCCCACUUGCACUAGAGUCAAUAAUCUAGUUCACAUCACCAUGUGAUUCCAACGAAUCUAACACCCAUAUAGUUAUGGGGUCUGAUCACGUCUUGCUCGUGAGAGAGGUUUUAGUCAACGGUUCUGAAACUUUCAGAUCCGUGCGUUCUUUACAAAUCUUUAUGUCAUCUUAUAGAUGCUGCUACUACGUGCUAUUCGGAAAUGCUCCAAAUAUCUACUCUACUAUACGAAUCCGUUUCACUACUCAUAGUUAUCCGGAUUAGUGUCAAAGCUUGCAUUGACGUAACCCUUUACGACAAACUCUUUAACCACCUCCGUAAUCGAGAAAAAAUCCUUAGUCCAUUAGUUACUAAGGAUAAAUUUCGACCGCUGCUAGUGAUUCAAUCAUGGAUCACUCUCUGUACCUCUCAACAUACUUUGAGUCAAGGCACACUUCAGGUGCGGUACACAGCAUGGCAUACUUUAGAUUCUACGGCUAAGGCAUAGAAGACGACCUUCGUCUAUUCUCUUUAUUCUGCCAUGGUCGGGUUUUGAGUCUUACUAAAAUUCACACCUCACAACGCAACCAAGAACUCCUUCUUUGCUGAUCUAUUUUGAACUCCUUCAAAAACUUGUCAAGGCAUGCAUCUUGUUGAAACUUCCAUUAAGCGCUUUCGAUCUAUCUCCAUAGAUCUUUGAUGCUCAACGUUCAAGUAGCUCAAUCCAGGUAUUCCUUUGAAAACUCCUUUCAAACAACCUUGUAUGUUUUACAGAAAUUCUACAUUACUUCUGAUUCACAAUAUGUCAACCACAUAUACUUAUCAGAAAUUCUAUGUCAACCACAACAGCAACCGACCCACAUCUACUCGGCUCAUUGGACAAUGUUCUUCGAUGGGUCUAAGAUGUUGAAUGGAUCCGGCGCUGGUGUUGUGAUCGUAUCACCAAAGGGUGACAAGCUCAAGUAUGUGCUUCAGAUACACUUUGAUUCCUCUAACAAUGAGGCAGAGUAUGAAGCUCUUCUCUACGGAUUGCGCAUGGCCAUCUCACUCGGCGUCCGUCGCCUGAUGGUCUACGGCGAUUCAGACUUGGUGGUCAACCAAGUUAUGAAAGAGUGGGACGUAAGGAACCCCACUAUGACAACCUACUGCAAUGCAGUCAGGAAGCUGGAGAAGAAGUUUGAAGGUCUAGAACUUCAUCAUGUUCCAAGGCUGAAGAACCAAGCGGCGGACGAAUUGGCUAAGCUCNNNNNNNNNNNNNNNNNNNNNNNNNNNNNNNNNNNNNNNNNNNNNNNNNNNNNNNNNNNNNNNNNNNNNNNNNNNNNNNNNNNNNNNNNNNNNNNNNNNNGGUUUGCGGCCACUACACGCAGGUGGUUUGGAGCUCCUCCACGUCCAUCGGCUGCGCGCGCGUCGUCUGCGACAACAACGCCGGUGUGUUCAUCAUAUGCAACUACAGCCCACGGGGCAAUAUCGGCGGACAGAGACCCUACUAGUAGCUAUAUAUAUAUGUCUUGAUUUCUUCAAGCAUGCAUGUUGUUUGACAAACAUAAUGGGGUAACGCAUGCUCAUGAACAGUAUAUGACGAUUCAUGCAUGUAACAGUAUGCCCCAUGGAAUAAGCUGUGGUAUACUAUUAUUGUUCUUAUAUAUAAUCCGAUAUUGAAGUAAUAAUAUGAUGCUUGUUGUAUU